rnacentral:lncRNA from 1 species
UAGAUGGCUAAGUUGUAGAGUUAUAAAUCAAAGUGGGUUGUAAUUCUAGCAAUGUUUUUUUGAGAGAUAGGUAGCACGCUACCCGCUUCGUUUAUUUCAUUUAAAAAUAAACUUAGCUGGAAAUGUGAAUUAACUAGGAUUCGAACUUGGGACCUCGGAUACCAACCACCAAGCCCUUUGCCACUUGCUCUAGGGACGGUCGGUGUAAUUCUAGCAAUGUUCUUUGGGAAAUCUAGCACACCUUGACAUGGCACUGAUUCGAGGUUAUGCCAUGCCAAGCUAGCCCACGCAUUGUUUUGGCCUAUCUUAUAGAUUGUGCUUUGCUGGUUGUUCGCAUCAAACAACUUUCAAGCGUUGACCAAGUCAAACUAUUGAUCGAGUCAAAAGUACAUUCGAUUUGCGAUUCGGCUCCUUGAGUGACCCUCGAUGACGUGAUUAGGCGAUGGGUGGAGGAGGGAAUGGCUCACUUGAAUUCUUCCUCAAUAUGUGAAACGAAUUAAACUCAAAUUGAAUUUAACAACAAAUUAGGCUAAAACUUGAGCUGAACUAAUUGUCUUUCAUUAAUUUAAGAGAGGAAAGUUAUAGAAAUUAUAGAGCACUAAGGCUUGGAUUAAAGAGAAACUAAGGCAUAAAACCCUAAGGUAUUCCCCCUAUUUGUUCCCAAAUGGUAUUUUUGGUAUCUGAAAAUAGUAGUUCUUCCACCCCUGUAUUAAGUUUGUAUAACCUUGUAUAAUUUUGAAACAGCUGUUCCACUCUCCCCUUUGAAACAAGCUUGUUUCCAAGUGGGAACAAGGUUAAUUAAAGUCUAAUCUAAUUUUAUUUAUGGUAUUAAACCAUUAAUGAAUCUAAUUAAUGUAUUUAAGCCAUUACCUAUUGCUUAAAUAGUAAAGUAAUUAAUUAAUUUAUUAUUUAUCAUUAAUUAACUAAUUAAAAAUUAAUAUUUUAAUUAAUAUAUUUAAUAACCAAUAUUUAUGUUGAUGAACCAUUAAUAUUUUGAUUAAUCUAUUUAAUUUUUAACUAAUUAUCUAACUAAAUAAUUUACUAACUAAUUAAAAAGUUAUGUUAUUUCUAUAAUUAACUAAUUAAUUAAUUAAUGUAUUAAUUAACUAAUUAAUUAACUAAUAUUUAUAUUUAUUAAAUUAUUAAAUUAAUAAUUUAUUAUAAUAUUUAUAUCUAAUAAAUAUAUUACUUUAUUGAAUUAUUUUUAAUUAAUAUUUUGAUGUUAAUUAAUUAGAUAAACUAUUUUUAAUUAUAACCCAUAUUUUUCUUGUUCCAAUCUAACAUCCAAAUACCAUUUACCUUAUUUUCAGGAACAAUUCAAUUUUCAUCUAAAUACAUAAUUGGUCUAGUUCCUAUUUAUACCUCAAUUUGUACUUAUCAUUGGAAUAAGCAAUUCUUAUUUGUAUCCCAACCAAACGCAGUCUAAAAGAUUACUGGCUACUUCUAGGAAAACAUUAAAUGCUGAGAAUAGAAAAAAUAUAAAAGCGGUGGUCUUGUGUGUGGAAAGACCAAUAUUGCAGGCAACCUUUCACUAUUUAUAGAGCUUUUGUUAUUCUUCAAUUAACUUGCGAUUAUUGGAUGGUUUGUGAUUGCUUUGCCUACUUUCUUGUUGGUUACGAAAGCAUUCCCCACAUUUUCAACUAUUCUCACCAAAAACUCAUUCGUGUUUGGGCGUUCCUUUCCCGACUCCUAAUGCACCACAUGUUAUUUUUUCAUUUGUCCGAUUACCAGUUGGCACUAUUUUUUUUGCGCAAACAAUGCUCCCUCAUGUAGUCUUCCAAAUAGACGUUCGGAUGACUAGCAGCGUUGGAUCAACGGCUCUAAUCAAUCAAAUUCAUUAACCCUAACUUGUCAUUUCAUAUUUAAUACUGUCGUCAUCAUCAAAAAUCCUUUUGAUGGCCCUUCAAAUUAGGGCCAUUCACUCCGACCCUCUUGAUGUUACUACGAUCACUUGUCUUCGCCCUCAUGACACGAUCAUCUUUUCAGCUCUCAACCCUGACGGUGUAGCCGAGUUUGACAUGAGCCUAGAUAAAAAGGCGAACAUCGCAUACACCAAAUUAAUGGGAAGGUUCGUAGGUCAAAGCCAAACAUUGCAAAAUUCGGUGCACAAGGAGGAACAUAUCACCUUUCUUUUAUACUGGCUAUGCAACUGUUUCUUUUGCAAUCGGUCUUAGAAGAUCAAUCGGGAUUUUAUCUCGAUUAUUGUCGCUUUGAUUAAUAGUGAAGAGCUUGCACUCGGUUCUCAUUUUCUUUCCUUUUUAUACUGAGAAAUUUUUGAUUCUAUCAAAUCACUGCACAAGAAGGAAAACGGCGUCGUUAUCAGUUCUAGGUGUGGGAACUUCUGGUUUCUCCAAAUUUAUCUGCUUCUAGUUUCUCCAAAUUUGUCUUCAGCUAUAUUUUUCUACACUCUAUGGAGCACCACCCGAUCCAAGUUCGCUGCAGCAAUUUGAUACUUAUGGACCCGACUAUCCAGAACCACACACUUUAGGUCAGCCUUCAGACUUUGUUCGAAUAUUUUUGAAUCUUUUAUUCUAAAGAAAACUGACCUCUCAACUGCUGGGCCCCUUUUGGAGCGCGAUCAAUCUAUCCCCAUUGGCUCAGAAAAUGCUUCGAGUACAUCCACAACCAAUGGAUUCCUCGAAAGUGGCUGAGCAUAUUGAAGUACGGUAUUCUUUUUUAGUUGCUCAAGAUCUCCACAUCGGUUUGAUGAACCAAUUAAAACUCUCGCAAAGUAGGGAAGGUAUAUUGUCUGCACUUCGUAGCUCAGCAAUUUGUCUUAGUUCAAGCACUCCCAGCCCAGCCAAAAUUCUUUAUGGCGAAUAUUUUUUGGUCUUGUGCAACUACAAAAGGAAUGGCCGAAGUAGAUCGAAUCUCGGCCAUGGAAAGCUUCUGAAAAGGAACUUUAUUUCUAUAGUUUUUCAGCCGACUAGACAUGGCAUCUCUGACGACUUUGAUUGACGGUCAUGGAGGAAUCUAUGCAAUAUUUUGUUCGCACUGACCACCUAGAAAUCGCCUUUGCAAAUAUGACUUUAGCUCGGAUCCUUUUUUUUUUUAAAAAAAGGGAAAUAUGAAGGUACCUCUUUUAAGCUUUCUUUUUUUUCGAUUUUUCAUACUUGUUUAUAAUUUACUUUGCCAUCUAUCUCAGUUGAGUUGUCUAAAGUAAAAGAGGCGGCAGUUGAUACACUCGAGAGUGAAGCCUUGGGUGACUGUUCGAAUGAAGAGAAGACUCCUUCCCCAAAGCAAUAAAUUUCUCAUAUCUCCCUUUUAUUCUUCUUUUUUAUGUAUGUUAAAAUUUUUAUUAGGCUAAAUUACAAAAAACCCUCUAGCAAUACCCGCUUUUUCACUUUUUCCUUUGUCAUUCAAAAACCUACACUUUGUCUUAUUAAAAAUUGAGAAAUAUUCACUUCGGCCCCCGCCGUUAGUGUUCCGUUUAUAUCCUAUUAUUACAUAUUCUUUUAUACCCAAAAUACCCUCAGCUUUCUCCACUCAGCGUUGCCGCCUUGCCCUACUUCCCCACCUCGCCCUCCUCCGCCGCCUCGCUUUUAGCCAUCCCUCCAUCUGUACCCACACACAUGCUCUCGUGCUCUUUCACUGUCUCUCCAUCGCCCUUGCCCAUGCCUACUUCUGUAUUCAUGCCCACCCCGAUCUCCUCCCUACAGUCGCUGAAAUAGAGAGGCGGCAAGGGUGCUGGAGGAGCAGGGGAGUAGGUGGAGGAAACGACGUUGGAGCUAGGGUGGAGGGAGGCGUGAAGGACGGAGGAGAAGAGCUACGAAUGAGGAGGUUUGGAGAGAAAGACGAAGAUAAUGAGGGAUAAUUUGGUCAUUUUAUCAUCAUAAUUAACAUCGUAUCUCCCUGCGAAUAUUUUUUAUUUUUCAAGUGGGCAAAGUGUAGGUUUUUGAAUGACAGGGAGGGCAAGUGAAAAAGCGGGUAUUGACAGAGAGGUUUUUUGUAAUUUAGUCUUUUUAUUAUUAUAUUUUCAUCAGUCAGUUCACAUCUUCAAUCAACCAGUCCAAAUCUCUCUGCCUCAGGCCGCAAAACAUCUAGCUAAAGAGACUGCUAAAUCUCCUCUGGCCUCCAAAAUAUUAAAAGUUGUAACCUGUGUGACCCUAAGUAGUCCUAUAUAUAAGAUAUAAUAUGGCUAAAACUUUUAACCUCACUAUAGUAUUUUGGGCGAUGGCUAGGCCCAAGAGGUUAAGAGAUUUAAGCGUGUUAGGACUAGAGUAGUCCUAGAAUGGGUGAUCCCCUAGGAAGUGUGUAAGAUAUGGAUGCCCUAAGAUCUAAAAGGUAUAAUCACACCUAGUGGGGGGUAAAUAGGUGUAAACGAUAAACCAACUAACUAGAUACAAUAAAAAUAAAUGCGAAAAAAUUAAAGCUAACACACCGAGAUUUUUUCGUGGAAAAACUCUAAUUAGGAGUAAAAAAACCUAUGGGACUGAUCACACGAAACAAUCCACUAUAAAAAGAUGAGUACAAGGUGAUUUACCAAAUUCACGACUCAAUCUUUAUCGAAUCCUCGCAGUAGAUCGUCUUCAUUGGUCCUCGACCGAUUAUACUCCUCCAAUCGAUAACGCCAUGACUCCUCGCUGCAACAACGCUUCGACUCCUCGAGCGUCCAUCGAAUCCUUGGCCUCACGCAAAGCUCUCGCGCAAUAGCUCCGUUCGGAGCCCGUAGACAUAUAGUUGGUGAUUAUUUGAAUGCUUAGAAGAACAUAAGAUAUGAGGAGAAUCCAUUUAACCCAUUAUCAACUUGAUUCUCAAAGGAGCAUUAGAAUCGAAAUCCUAAGAACCAAGUUGAUGAUCGAAAGAACGAAACUUGCUCUAAGAAGUGAAUCGAAAGCACCAAAAGUAAGUUUCUAGGGUUUCCUAUUGAUCUUCUUUCUAAGCUUAUGUUUUAGGAGGACCCCCAUAUCUUAUUUAUAAGUUUAGGAGACAUUAGAGUCAUACUAGGAAUGAAAACAUGUUUUCGAAAACAAACGAUGGGUUCAGGGUCCGGACCUUACAUCAGGGUCCGGACCUUGAAGGUCUGGAUCUUCAAUCCAGGGUCUGGACUCUUCUCGCAUAACAGUAAAAUCGGCGCACGGGUUCUAGACUCUAGACCCAAGGUCCGGACCCUCUCUGCAUUUCGCAAAAGGGUGUACGGGUUCCGGACCUUACUGACAGGGUUCGGACCCUCGCUGCGAAACUGCGAGGAAGGCCCACGGGUUUCGAACCUUGGUUUUAGGGUCUGGAAUCUGAACCCAUAAAUUCUUCGUUUUUAAGUUUCAAACAUUUUAAAACCAUUUCUAAGUCUCCAAAACACUUAUAUAUAUGUGCAAACAUCACCACUAACUAUAAACACACAUAACUGAGAUCGAUGAGCAUCACGGAUGAGCUUUUUCCCAUGAAUCUCAAAAUCAUUUUCUUCAACCCUUCAAGACUCCACAUAAUUUCACGAAAUUCGGCAACCUAAAAGUCUUUAACAAAGUUGGGCGUCACAAUUGGUAUCAGAGCCAAUUACUAAUCGAAAAUGUAAGAUGAAUCUCGGCUAAGCCAUAGUUAUAAAGCGGGGGUCCUCGUGUUUUUCAUGCUUUUCGCUUACAGGUAGAAAAUAUGUUUGGACAUAAAAUUAAAGCUAUUCAAUCUGAUGGUGCCAAAGAAUUCAUGUCCAAUGCCUUUCAAAAUGAACUGCAACAAAAUGGAAUCUCACAUCAUAUAUCCUGCCUAUAUACACCUCAUCAGAAUGGUUCAGCUGAAUGAAAACAUAGGCACAUUGUUGAUAUGGGCCUUACUCUUCUCGCUCACUCAUAUUUACUCUCAAAAUUUUGGGACUAUGCCUUCGAAACUACAUCAUUUUAAUUAAUCAUCUCCCCGCUAAGUCAUUAAACUACAAGACUCCCUUCCAAGUUUUACAUGAUCAAACCCCUAAUUACAAAAUUUUGCGUGAUUUUGGGUGCUUAUGUUUCCCAUACCUUCGACCUUACACUCGCAAUAAACUUGAUUUGCGCUCUCGAAAAUGUGUUUUUCUUGGCUAUCCGUCUAACUAUCAUGGCUAUCGUUGUUACGAUUCGAGUACUGGUUGCAUUUUCAUUUCCUGCACAGUUGUGUUUGAUGAGCAAUUAUUUCCUUUUCAUUCUUCUAUGACGUCUACCGUGGCUGAGCAUAAGCUGUCCCCUGUAGGGCCUUCCCUUUCUCUACUCUUUAACCCAAUUAUAGCCACACCCCCACCCACGCUUCCUUCUUCUAAUGCCUCGAACUUUCCCAUUACCAACCCUAAUCUUGAACCAACACCCACCUUGCCUCGUAGUUCAGUCACUGAUCCGACGUCACAGGCUGGUCUUGUUAGUGACCCAUUGCUGGCGCCCGACAUCAUACAUUAGUUUAUCGACCCUUCGACAACAGCAUCUUAUUUUCUGUCUACAUCAACAAGUGUUAUCUCCUAUGCUCCUACAACUGAUAGUCGGCUACAGCGCACUCAUCCUAUGGUAACAAGAUCACAGGAUGGCUCACUUCGACCACCGCGGUUUACUAUUGCUAAAAAGUAUUCGGUUGCGUUUGUUGUUUCUGCUAAUUUGCAGGAGCCGUCAUCAUUUUCUAAGGCACAGAAGGAUCCGCUAUGGUGUAAAGCUAUGCAGGGUGAAUAUCUGGCUCUUAUCAAUAAUCAUACUUGGGAUCUUGUCCUACCUCCUUCCUCUCAUCAUGUCAUUGGGUGCAAAUGGGCGUACAAGAUCAAACAGAAAGCUGAUGGAUCUAUUGAUCGUUACAAAGCUCGCCUCGUUGCUAAAGGAUUCAACCAGCAAGAAGGAAUUGAUUAUGACGAAACGUACAGUCCAGUUAUCAAACCAGUCACCAUUCGAACUAUCUUGGCCAUUGCUACCUCCUUUCGUUGGCCUAUCCGACAACUUGAUGUUAAAAAUGCUUUCUUACAUGGCUAUCUUGAUGAGGAAGUUUACAUGCAACAACCUCCUAGUUUUGUUGAUCCUACACUAGCUCAUUAUGUUUGCCGCCUGCGCCGUUCUCUCUAUGGGCUUAAACAAGACCCUCGGGCAUGGUUUCUACGGUUAAGUGCAUUUCUUCAACGACUUGGUUUUCGUGGAUCCCAUGCUGACCCUUCGUUGUUCAUUCUUAACAGCUCUUCAUCUCACUAUUUUUUUUGAUCUAUGUUGAUGACAUUAUUCUUACUGGACCACCGAAUGCCCCUUUCAACACCUUACUCACCUCGCUUCAUCGGGAGUUUGCUAUGAAGGACUUGGGACCACUGCAUUUCUUUCUUGGCAUCGAAGCCCGCUCCAGCCCUAACGGACUAUAUCUCACUCAGUCUAAAUAUAUUCUUGACAUUCUCAGCAGAAACUCAAUGCUAGAUUGCAAACCAAUUGCUUCUCCAGUAACAUCGGGCUCUCGCCUUUCUCUCAAUGAUGGUGAUCGACAUGAUAAUCCUUCCCUAUAUCGUAGUGUGGUUGGUUGUCUUUAGUAUAUAACUUUGACUUGACUAGACAUUGCUUACGCUGUGAAUCAGGUGUGUCAGUUCAUGCAUCAACCUAGCAAAAUACACUGGAUGGCAGUUAAACGGAUUCUACGAUAUUUGAAGGGUACUAUUACUCAUGGUCUUCUUCUUUGGCCAGGUGCCCCUCGCACUCUUCAUGGUUUCUUGGAUGCCGAUUGGGCCGACAAUCCUGACGAUCGACGCUCAGUUAGUGGUUUUGCUAUCUUCCUUGGUCCUAAUUUAAUCUCGUGGGUUUCAAAAAGCAACGCACUGUGGCACGCUCAAGCACAGAGUCUGAAUACAAGAGCUUCGCUAAUACCACUACCGAGUUGAUUUGGAUCCAGUCUCUUUUAGGCGAGUUAGGACUCCGACUUCGACAGCCUCCGAUUUUAUGGUGUGAUAAUAUCUCGGCGAUACACCUUACUGCCAAUCCGGUCUUUCAUGCUCGGACAAAACACAUAGAAAUUGAUUAUCACUUCGUUCGAGAGAGAGUCUUUAGUAACCAAUUGCUUGUUCGCUUCCUGCGCUCCUUAGACCAAAUUGCAGAUGUUCUCACCAAAGGAUUGUCACCUCCACGCUUCUCCGCCAAUCGUGUUAAGCUCAACGUUGCUUCUUUCCCGUUGCGCUUGCGGGGGAGUAAUAACCAAGGAUAACUAUUACACCUAGGAUUAAAUAUUUGAAAUGCUACCCAGCUGUAAUUAGUUGUAUUAUCUACAAUUAGUUGUAACUGAUUGUAUCUUAUAUUAUAUAUAGAAAUGAACUCCUCCUCUAUAAUCAGGGAGGCUACAAACUAAUUCAUCUUCACCCACUCUCUCUCUCUCGUCCUAUUACAUCUAUUUUUUUUAUAGGAGAGCCCCAAAUCUUGAAUAAUCUUUUUCGCUUCAUAAUAUGAAUCUAGCAAAGUUGAUCCUUCAGGUAAAAACUUUUCAUUUAAUAAUUGUAGUAACAUGGUAAAUGAUGCAUUACUCUACUUCCCAAGACUAUUGAAUGAAGUAAUUUUAUUAAUACAGAUAAUUUAGAGGUUCGCCGAGUAUAAUGGUUGAUUAAGCUCCCUUAAUAAUCUAUAAAAUUUCCUAGCUUCAUCAUUGGGUUCUUCUUCAUGUUCUUCAUGACUUGAGAUAUUAACGCUUUCAUGAUUCAUAACGAGAUCACUAAAAUCUGGAUAUAAAUCUCUUAAAAUAUCCUCCAUCUUGCCAUCACUUUUAUCUUCUUCUAUUUCCUCGGGAUUUUCAUCAUCAGAUUCAGAUCGAGGCUCUCCUGACCUUUCCCUGUGAUGAUAUCAAAAAGUAUAAUUAUGAACAAUUUCAUAAACCUUUAAAUGUGUCUCAACUAUCUCAGGAGUUCCUGAAUAAGUGUUACUACACUUAACGUAGGGACACCUGAUUUCAUUAUUAUCUCCAGUUCUCUUAAAUGUAUAAUUGAGAAAACUUUGAACACCUUUAUCAUAUGCCUCAUUAAGCCGAUCAUCAACCAAAUCUAUCCAAACCUUAUUAGGUGCCAUUCUCUUCUUGUAAGUUUGAUAAAAAUUAGAGCUCAAAAUUACCUAAGCAACAUAGACCGGUAAGCAACUUCACAUAAAAUUAAUAUAAUGUUUUAAAAAAAGCAACAUUACGUAUAACCUUAUAUAAGCCUAACUACAAUAAUUAAUGGGUGUGAGUGAAAGACUCUUAUUUAAAAUUAAGAAGUGAGCAAACUACUACAUAUCUUCUAGCUAAUUAUUGGUACAAAAAAAAACCUAAUUUAAGAUAACAUAGCAAAGAAUAAAAUUUUCUUUUUUAUUACACAAUGAAGACAUUAUUUAUUAUGUAAUCAUAAAAAUAAAGAUAAUUUUUAUAUCUAUCAGUGCAUAAAAUUAUUAAAUUAAAAUUAUUAACUAACAGUGAACUUUUAUAUUGAUCUCUUAUAUAGUAGAGGAAGGCCAUAUAAAUAUAUGGUCACUCAAGCACCUGGGCCCAUAUAUUACUAUCACACCACAUGACACACAAAAAAAAUCAUCUAACCUUUCUCAUCCUUGAUUAUCAAAAGAAGAGCAAAAACUUAUAAUAUAACAUUCAAUAUAUCAACCACCCAAUAGUAAUAAUUAUUGCAUAAUAUGAGUGUUCUUUUUCCAACCGUAGAAACUACAACAAUACAAUAUAAAAAAAAAUAUUAACAAAAGCUAAUAAUACAAACAUGAAAUUAAAUCAACUACUACGCAUUGGCUAAGUAAACAACUGAGUGAAGUUAAUACCUAAGCUUUGGCGGCGGCGGCACGAAGGUUUUUAGUGGCAGAGGCAAUGAUGAUCCACGCCGAUCCACGCAACCGAGUGACUACACGAUUUCACACCAAAUGUAUCCAAAACGCCAAAUGAAUAUUAGGUUGAAAAAUAUGAGAUGGACAAAAUAAAAAUAUAUGAAUAAAAUAAAUGUAGAUAUUAACAUUUUCUAUAAAGAAAAAGAUUAAAAUAAAGCACCUCUAAGUAUUCGGGAUUCCAAAUAUUAAAUUUAAAAAUUUUAAAAGCAAAAUGGUAGUUGAAAGAAAAUUUUGGCAUUUUGAGAACUACAUUAAUUAAAAAUUGGGGAUUUUAGACUUUCAUUAUUUUUCAUAUUCUAUAACACAAAUGGGUCUCUUUCAUAGGCAUUUUGAGAAAUAUUAACUAAAUUUGGGGGCUUCAAAUUUUCAUCAAUUUUCAUUUUUUAUAACACAAUAGUUCCCUCUCAGUUUUAAUUAAUACUAAAGCAUAUAACUCAUGCUAUUCAAUUCACGAAAAUUAAUAAAUAAAGCUUACAAAUAGUAACCCCAUCACAACUUUCGCCUUAAUAAUUAGUGGAAGAAAAGGUUUACAAAUGAGACUCAUUACAAAUAUCAUGUUAAUAAAAUAGAAGUAUUUUGCGGAUGAAGAUAAAAAAUAGAGAGAGAGAGCUUACAAAGGGGACCCAUUACAUAAAUUCCAUCUUAUAAUGGUGAAAAACUAUAUAAAUAAAUUAAUAAGAAAAACAUAGUGAGAAAGAGAUAGAGGACCACAGUAAAAUGUAUAUGAUAGCGAGUCGUGAGGCUUAGGAGUAGUUCGCCCUUCUAUAGCGCGGGAGAGCGCGUGAACGUUUGCCGCCUCGUAAGCUCGUGCGUAGUUGCCAGCAAGCGAGUGCGUGAGUAGCCGCCGGUGUGCGAGUGCGUGAGGUGUUGGGAGAGGAAUCCCUAUGGUGAAUAGGGCGGCAACUCAGGAGACAUUAGAGGAGCUCAGGGGCUUAAUUUGGGAGCUAGGUUAAUCUUUGCCCCAAAAAGGAUGCGGGAGCGUGUGGCAAGGCGUGAGAUUUUAAAUUUUUUUUUUUUUUUAAUAAUUAGGAUUCAUUUUGGGCCCGUCAAACUAUUUUUAGGCCCGUCAAAUUUUUUGUUGAGUAUAAUGACUGGGCAGAUGACUAAUAACGGUGAAACAAAAAUUUCGUCGCUAAAUAUUCGUUACCAAAUAAUAUUCUAUAGAGAUAUAUUAAAUUUUCUCUUUUUAGCAACCAAUCACUUGUAGCACCCGUUGUUAAAAAUUGGUCAUUGAAAACUCAAAUUGCUGUAGUGUAAAAUAUUUGGGGACUACAAGCAUUUUAUAUUAGAAAAUAUCAAACCAAGUUUCAAAACAAUUAAAAAAGGAACACGAAAAUGCAAAACCACAAAUCCCAAAGGAAUUGCUUGAACUACGGGAACAUCAGGGAUCACAUAGAUUAAAUUAACAUUUCAACUCUAAAGCUUAAUUAUAUCUCAGAAGAGUAAGAGGGUUUCUCAUUCAAGUGUGAUCACCUUCCUCCUUAGAUCAAUUCGCUCGCAUUUCUCCUUCGUUCGAAAGCGCUCGCCUUUGCCUAGGGUUCGAAUCGGCUCGUCCUUCUCGUGAGAUUGAAUCCUAGAUCUUCUCUUCAACAAAGAAACAAAUGGUAUAACACUUUCUCUCUCUUUCUCUCCGUCAAGUAAAAGGUAAGGACAUUAUUGUUAUUUUGUGCUUUUCAUUAACGGCAUAGCUCCCUGUGCAUAAUUCUAUAAUUCGGAGGGGGCAAAGUGUAGGUUUUUUUUUGAAGGGGCGUGUGUGUGUGUGAAAAAGCAGAUUUUGAUAGAGGUAUUUUCUAUAAUCUAGCCAAAAAGUAAAAGAGCAAAAAUAUGUGAAGAUUUUCUAACUAUAGUCAUUCUAAAUACCCUCCUGAUUUAUAAUUUUUAUUGUGAUCUCUUAAUUUUUUUUUUUUUGUUGAAUUGAGCUAUUUUAGCUAAAUAAAUUUUAUAUCUUAUCUAAUUGAUUAAUAAUUUAAUCAAAUUUAUAAUUUAAAUACUUUAUAGCAAAUAAAACUAAAUUAGUUAACUGUCAAUAACUAAUUGAGUAUAAAAGUCAUCAAUAACUGAAUUAACUUAUAAAAUAAUCAAAUUAAAUAAUAAAAGUUAAAGAGAUAUAAAAAUUAAGUGUUUUUUGAAGUGGCCUGUAGUUGAUUGGGCAUAUGUAAAGAAUGAUUAUAAAGAGGAUAAGGAUAAGAUUAUAUUUUUCCUCAAAAAACUCUAUAUGAUUGAAUUUUUUAAAAAAAUCUUAAAAUACUUUCAUAUAAUUUUCCAAACUCCAAGGAGGACUCAUGGUCUUUCUCGAUCUCUUAAUAGCUUUGCUCCUGUCUUCCUUCUUUUAUCUCGAUAUGAUGUCACUGAGCCUUCUCUAGGGUCGCUAUGACGGUCUCAUCAAUGAAGAAGUGGAGUGAUAUAGCCGGCGAUGUGACAAAGGCGGCUUGGAAAAUAGAGAUUGGGAGAAAGUGUGGAGAAAGCACAUGAAGCAGUUAGGGCGACAGUGCAUGGCGCAACAUUUGUUGCUAAACGGGCCCACCAUCGCAGCCAACAAGAAGGAAUUGGAAGGAGGAGAGACCAGCGCUAGCAUGUAAACCCUAACAGGUAGACCCUAGCAGGCGCCCUUACCGGUCAGCAGGGAGGGUGGAGAAAGAGGGGGGAUUAACACUAGUGGAUAGAUCCCCCGCUCAACGGAAGUUGUUGCCAUCACGUUGAUAUCUUAUUACAGAUUCAGAAAGAAUUAUAGAUGUGACGGUAAUGUGGCAAAAAAUAAGAUUAAAUCAAUUUUGUGAGAAUUUAUAUCACCAAAUAUAAAAAAAUUAAAAAUUAUUAUGAAAAACAGUCCUAAAAAUGCAAUUUUAUUGUUUUACAGGGGCAUAUAUGUAAUUAUCAACACAAAAUUAAAACAUCGAAGGAAAUGGGAAACGAAAAGGGCGAGAGGAGGGGGCGAGAGAGGAAAAAAAGAAAGAGGGCAGUAGGGAAGCAAAAGCAAGCAGACGCCAGACAGCAAGGGUUCGGAGCAUAGUUAGUUAAUUCGCGAAUUAUUCGCGAAUUUUUGAAAUACCGAAUAAAACUCCCGUUUUCGUAUUUUUCCCAAAAAUUCGGAAUAAUUCGCGUUUUUUUUGGGUAAAAGGAAUUAUUCGCGAAUUAAACGGGAUUCGCGAAUAAUUUGGCCCAAAAAAUUGGCCCAGAAUCAGGUUUGCCUCGCCCAAAACCCACUCUGCCUCACGGCCCUCACGGCCUCACCCUGUCGCCCAAAAGGCCAAAAAAAAAAAAAAAAACAAAAACAAAAACAAAAACCUUGUGAAAAGAAUCGCUCCCCUCCCACGAGUCCCCAAAAACGGGUUUGCCCUAACUUCUCACACCUGACCCCUGCGGCGGUCGCCCUCUUCCCUUCCGGCCGGUCGUCGAACGCCAUCGCGGAAGCCCUCCUCUUCAGAAAUCGAAGACCGAAGAUCGGGUCCUUCACUCUUCAGAAAUCGAAACCCUCCUCGUCGCCUCUUCCUCUUCCGCUUCCGCUUCCGCUAUCCAACGGUAGAUCAGUAAUCGGGUGGUUCUUUACAAACCAGGUACGAUUUGAGAUUUCGGUGGUUCUUCAAAGCAAAAGUUGCAAGCUUUUAGUCCAUCUGAUGGAUACUUUUUUAUACACAAAUGGCUGAGUGCUUAAUUGAAUGUGUCCAUUCUCUGUUAUGCACAAAGAAGACCCAAACAUAGUGCUAAAUAAUAAUCUUAAUUAACUUAGGGACCAGGAACUCUUGUAUUAUACCUAGUCAAUUUCAUGAUCUUGUCGUCACUUGCAAAAGGAAAAUUUUGUUGUGGUCUUUCAUGGACAAUUGACUCAGUGGGGUUUCUACUUAAUUUUUGAAACAUAACUUUUUAGUAUUAGAAAUGCAGCAAUUUUUCACUAUACAAUGAGAAGAUCUGGAGAAUAAGAGUUUGAAAAUGUUUAACUGUAGAAUCCUUCUCUUUCUCUAAACUCCGGGUUUCUAUAUUAGUCCUAGUUAAGUUGUUGUUAAUUGUUGUUACAUUCAUUAAUUUGCUUAUUGUUGUAUGAAGAGUGAAGAUGUCUAGCUUUUAUGUAUGUUUAUAUGUGGAAUUGUGUGCUUGUAUGCUUUAUGUUUAUUCAAGCUUUUAUGUAUGCUUAUAUAAUUAAUAGUGAACUUUAUGUAUCUUUUAUUUAUUUACUGUUUAUACUUUAGAAUUUAGAUAUGCUAGCAUGCAGUUAUGGACUAUGCAAAGUGCCAAUUUCAUCUUGUAUUUAGUUUCGAACUAUGCUUGUAUGUGAACCGUUUAUAUUUUACAUUUAAAUAUGGACUAUCUUGAUCUCUAUUUGCUUAAUUAUUUCUUUCUUUUGAGGCAUAAUAUAGUUUACUAUUUUUUUUACUUACUUAGUUUAAUUUUGUAGCUCUUUAUUCUUAUAUUCUUAAAAAAUAUGAAUAUUUAUGCUAAUAGCAUAAAUCUUGAGAGAAAAAAAAAACUUAAUUUAGUAGCCGAAUUUUUGAUCCCGAAUUUUUAAUCGGUGAACGUAUAAUAUCCGUAUAUAUCACGUAUCCGAAUAAUUGGCGAAUCCGUUUUUUAGCCCUUUUUUUCAACGAAUUUAAAAAUUAGAAGACGAAUUUUAUCCGAAUUAUACCCGUACUGAAUUUUUGCCGAAUCCGAAUUAACUAACUAUGGUUCUAAGAUCCGGAAGGGGAGGAGGUCUCAGGUCUGUCCCGGGCGUAACACCAGCUUGGAAAAAAGCGGAGAUGGAGGGUCAAGAAGGCAAGCAGCAGCCGCACCUGGCCCUCGCCCACAAGCUCUUUCUGCUCGCCCACCCCGACGUAGACGACAUCGACAAGGUCAGACUGCGCGACGAGGUCCUCGACGCCGUCAAGGCCGACGGUAAUCAUCAUCACCGCCGCCACUCCCGUCUUCCCCUUUCUUGCCCGGCACACCACCAUCUUUUCAAUUUCUCGUCUCGUUACUUUACUUAUGAUUGUGCACCCCCUUGGUUUUUUUAUUUUAUUUUAUUUAUUUUUUUUAUUGGUGUGCCCUAGAUAUGGCCUCGCUGUACGAAUCCCUGGCGGCCAAAUCCGUGCUGGAGAUGGACGCCGGGCUUCUCGAAUCUAUGCGGCAGAGGAUCGACGAGGAGGUCAAGAAGCUCGACGACAGGUGAGAUCUUCGUUUCUCCUCAUUGAAUGGUAACGAAAAGGCGUUGAUUACGGAUCCUGUUUAAUUUGGACAAGGAACAGGAAGCAGAAUGUGUGAUUAUUCUCCUUUGGGUUGAGACCUCUCAACUUUUCGGAAGAAACUCUAUUUGUUUUUGGAUUCCAAGCAUUAAAACGGUAAAAAAAAUAAAAAAAAUAAAAAAUAGUAAUUUGUAAUGUGUUAGCUGCACUGUAUUUGUAAUAGGAUACUAUCCAUUUAGUGCUUUGUAUUUGUAAUAGGAUACUAUCCAUUUAGUGCUCUGUGGUGAGAAAUCCUGUCACUGAUUCAUAUGGUGGUGCUGAGAUCGAACUUGGUCCGGUCUUUGGUUUGAAAUGCAGUAUGCAUCCGUGUAAGUAGCCAAAAUAUGUGUGUGCGGUUGCCUGACUGCACUGCAUUGGAUCAACUCGACCAAGACUGUAUAAGAUUUAAGUAUUACUCUUUUCGUCCCUCCUGAAGCCUCUGAGUUAGAUCUGGGUACAAAUUAUGAAUGUCUAUAUUCCAAUAGUCUGUUUUGCAUACCUUAUAUUUCUUUUUCUUUGGAAGGUUUCUACAUUUCGUGUCUGUAGAACAAAUAUAUUAUCAUGAAAUAUAAAUGUCUUUUUCAUUUUUUUUUCUUCUUAUAAUUUACAUUCUAUACCGACUUUUUUAGAAACUUGGCACAGUUGAUUGAAGUCACGUCUGUCUAGAUAAUUGGAGAGGAAUUUAAAUCCUUCAUGGUGUUUCCGAACGCUCUUGUUACUUUAGCCAGCAGAUGUUGGAUGCUUAUAGAUACGUUUUGGGAUAUUUGCUACUUGUAUAUGAAGCUUAGGAUGAGAAACCCAAGUUCAUUAAAUAUUUGAUCUUGGAAGAGAUGGUGUAACAAAACGAUUCGGGGACAAAAUAACCUUUAAACAUUUUCUCUCAUGCUUAUUUUGGAGAUAACUAUUGAAAGUUGAAACUUGAAAUUACUUGUAAAAUAUGAUGUUCUAAAUUAGAAUAGUAACAACAUUUACGGGUGUAAACUGACCCUUGGUAUAGUUUAUAUACUUGAAAGCUGAUUUGAUGUCUUUGGUUUUCGUAGGAUUUAGGUUUAUUUUACAGGAACGUAUAGCUUAACAGUUUGAAAUCAAUUAUGGACUUUGAUCCUUUAACUCUCCUACGAACAUUGCUCGAGGAUAUCUUGGUUGCUUUCUUUGAAGAGAAGUAUCUAGUGGAUAAACUUACGAUUGGAUUGUAUGAGAUAUGAGAUAUUAUAAACCUGUCACAUUAUAAACAAAACCUUUUAGCUAUAGAUUACCCAUGAGAGGCUUUAUGAUUUCAAAUUUCUUUCCUCUUGGUUGAAUUCAGGUUCAUUUUAGAGUUGAAAACUAUAUGGUUAUGUGUGGCUGCGUGAACCUGCAUAUGCUGUUGUCUUCGCUUGAUUCUCUUGUUUUGAAUCUAUUAGCCAAGGGCCUCCGUCACACAAUGGAUACGGUACUGCUAAUGCCAUUCAUUUUAGGUAGAUAUAAGUGGGUCAAACAUUGCAUGUCGAUUAAAAACUUGAACUCUAUUUUUUAUCUACUGUUCUCUAUAGUUAUGUGGAUUACAAACAUUCAAUGUAGAUUAUAAACUUGAACCCUAAUUUUUAUCUACGGUUCUAUAUAGUUAUGUGGAUUACAAAAGUUGUAUGUAGAUUAUAAACUUGAACCCUGAUUUUUUAUCUAUAGUUCUUUAUAGUUAUUACUUGUAUUAUAUAUUUUUCUAAUUUGAAUAGUGAUAAACAUUUUCUCUAAAUCCCUGGUAAGCCUUUAAUUGUUAAACCACAUGAGUCUGCAUAUGCUCCUGCAUAUUGCAUAUGUUCUAUGUUGUUGGCUGACUAUUGCAAAUCAUAUUUGCCUUCUAGUACAUUGGUCUAGGUUGAUGCACGGCAUUUCUUUUAAAGUUAGGUGGAGGCAAUUUUAUUUUGAAGUCCAUAUGUAUAUUGGUUCAGUCAGGACAUUUUAAACUAUUAUGCUACUAGGAUCUAAACUUACACAUUAGAAAGGGUUCAGUUUAAUCUGGUACAGAGUUCAUUUGGAUUGGGACCUUAUUUUGGUCUUGAAUAUUUUGGGGUCAAUUAAUGUCUUAUAUUAGUCAACUGGGAUGCAUCAGUUUGGCUUGGGUAUAUUUGGACUUAAUGCUAGUAGGAUUUUUGGGUCUUUUUCACAUAAAUAAAGUCCUAGGGCUGAUUUAGUAUUUAGAAUUUUGUUGAGGAAAAUUAGGAGUUUGUAAGUUUACUUCACGUAUGCAUGAAGCUGAAACCUAAUGUUUCUCUCUUUUUUUUUCCUUCCUUUCUUUUUCUCUCCAUUUUUUCUUUCUCUUCUCUCAACCAUUCUUGUUGUCCAAAUACCAAAAAGGAAGAAAAAAGAAAGCUGUGUGAGCCAGCUGUGAUUGACCAGAACCAGAUGUUAAUGACAUUUGAUAGCAAGUAACCAAGUCCUAGUGGGUUGCUAGAACAGCGACCAUAGGGCUGUAAAGCAUUGCACUCUGAACACAACGGGAUGGAUUGGGCAAUACCUUAAGGCCCUGUUUGGUUUGGGAAUAGCAAACAUUGGAUAAUUUUUUUUUGUCCCGAGGAUAACUUACUAUUCUGGGGUAGUCAGGAAUAAAAGUAAAAUUGUGUUUGGUUUUUAAUACUACUAUUUCCAGGAAUAAUUGAAAUUGCAUUUGAUUAAUUUUAUAGAAUAGUAGAGGAUAGUGGAAAAAAAUGAUGGUUGAAUUUGAUAUAAAAUAUGAUUAAUAUUUCACAUAUUUCACAAUAGAUUAGAUAUAAAAUAUACUAUGUAAAAGAACAUUUGACAUAUAAUACUAUUGUUUUCUUAAAUUCUACUUAAACUUAAAUUUAAUAAAAAUAAUUUAUUACAAUAUUUAAGUAUAAUUUAUUAUAAUAUUUAAGUACAAAUAAUAUGUAUUAUGAACUAGGCUAAUAUACUAUUAAUAGCACCAAGUCAUUGGUGCUACCAAGUUUUUGGCCAUUGGAUUAAGAGAUGUGCGGUUAGGAUGAUGUGGGCCCCUUAGGGUUGAGUGGGUGGUUGGUUGAAUAGUAUGAUCUAACGGAUGAAAAUGAUCAAAAGGGUAAAUCUAACGGCAGAAAACUUGGUAGCACCAAGUGUUUCGUGCUAUUAAUAGCAUAGUAGCCGGACUCUAUGUAUUAUAUAGUACAAUUAAUAAUUUUUAUAAUAAAUAUAUUAUAUUAUAAUAUGUAAUAUAUCAUGUCUAUAUAAUUUACUUUAAUUCAAUUUAUUAAUGAAGUUUGAAGUUAAACCUUGGAAUAGCACUGUUUCUCCAAACGGGUAACUGAAGCUAUCCUGGGAUAACUGGGAAUAGCAAGGUUUGAGUGGAAUAUUUUAUCUCGGUAUCUUGGCCAAAAAAAUACCAUGUUUGGCGAAAUAGCAGGGAUAACUUCCGUUAUCCCCACUUCAUCCCUGAACUAAACGGGGUCUAAGGGAAGUAUUUGAAGUUUACCUAUUGCCAUUGGAUUCAGUAGGAUAUUUAUAAUCUAAAAAGGUUCUUAAUAAGUUUUACUCACUUUUAUGCUUCUUGGUUAUUCUCCACGCUUGUCUCCUCUUACUAUAUACAUAUAAUUUACAUAAAUGUAUAUAUUUGAAUCUAGAAAUUUUUAUUUUUUUGAGCCAUUUUUAACAUGGAUCUACCUUGAUAUGCACUUAUCUAGUACCUAUGCACAAUUUACUAUCUAGUCUUUUUCUUUUUGAUAUACAACUAUCGAAUUAUUUUGCGUGCAGAAACAUUGUUAAUUAUAGAAUAGCUAAUUUUUUAAUAAGUGAUUGAAAGGGAAGUAGAAAGAAGUAGAAAUAACCUAUUUUACUUUUGAAAUUUGGAUUUAUUGCAUUAGAAUACUUGUUAACUUGCAGUUUUCAUGCGGAGUUUAUUAAACUUAGUAAUGCUGUGCAGUUAGAUGGAGGAGUGCACAAAUUUUUGCUGCAGUGUCCAAUACAGAGGAUAUAAACUGCUUUAUGGGCGGCUGUAAGAUUUUACGAAUAUGAUAAAAAAAUUCACCAAAUAAAUGAUCAUAGAAUGUGGUCUGGAAAUAAGCUGAUGGAGACUAAUUUUUCUAAUGGUUGGAGUAUAUGAUAUUUCAUUUUAGGAUAUUUUGUUCUUUAGGAUUUAUAGUCCUUCUAAACAUCUACUUUUUUUUGCAUAUUGGCCUCUCUCUUGAUUUUCCUUUUAUCGGACAUGGCAACUAACCCUUUGUUAUGGUUAUCAGCCAUUGUUACAAAGAACAAGUAAUCCUUAUUCCAUAAGAAAUUUCAAGUAGGAAUUAGUGUUUUGGCCUCGUAUAGGACAUCCUUUCUUAUGUGUGUUGUAAAGAAGCCGUUCUUGUUACUCUGAGCUUUAGAUAGAGAAAUCUGACUUUCAUACAUAGUGGAGAUUUUUUGUGCUCUUUCUUUCCAUCCUUUUUCAUAAUAUAGAAAACAGUACAUCAACAUAGUUUUUCAUGCUUUUUUUAUUUUGAUCUGUGUGGAGCUAUUAUCUACAAUUGCAUCUUAUAUAGAUGUCAUCAGUUAUAAUGUCCUUUAUUAUAAUACUAUUUCUGAUAUCUUUUGAUAGUUAUAUCGCGUCCUUUUGCAUGUUUAGUCCGUUUUGGUUGUAUAGAAGUAGAGCCUUGUACUAUUUUUCUCAAUUAAACUGUGCUACUGUGCUGGCCAUCAGUCCUCAACAUAUCUAUUUGUGGACCUUUUAUACUAUUUUAACUGGUUUAUUCUAUUGUCUUUCUUUUUCACGCUUCACUAUUUGUUACUUCACUUUUGACCUCAAGUUGCUCAUAGUAAUUUCUUGCGAAAAACUUCAAUAUAGCCUACUAAGAUAGAUGUAUAUUACUUUUACCUUUUGGGAGACAGCUCCACUGUUUGAUCUCCUAAGUUGUUCACACGAUUUGUACUUUAUGUCGAUUUUCAGUGGCACUAAGAAUGCUAUUUACGAAUGCAUUUAGUUUUUCUUGAUUUUUAUCAGGACAAGUACUUACGAAGUUUAUGACCAAAUUUGUCAUAUUAAGAGUCUAAAAGAAAUUUUGCUGUUGAGCUUAAUUUAGUAAAGUGCUAUUGGAGAUAGGAUAUGUGAAACUUCCAUCUGAUGAUUGUGGAAGAUUCAAUAUGCUAAUGGAAACUCCGUUGGCCUGGUUUGAAACACAAAUGGUUUACGAAUGGUUCUCUUCUAAAUGCUUUGAAGCAUGCUGUAUUUGAAAACUUUAUUUCUCCAUCUGUUUAUUGUAAGAAGCUAGCUUAAAAUUGAAGAAUUGGGGUUGAUCAUGGAUAAUAUUGAAGUUUAUUUCUCAACACCAGGGCGCCAAACAACCCAUCCACAUAAAGGAUGCUUUUAUGAGCCCAUGUUGCAUCUUACCAUCCCCAUCUGAUAUUAUCGGUCAUUUAGUUCGACUUUUGUAGUACAUGAUGGCUAAUAUAAGUAUGAGUCAACUACAGUAGUUUUUCCUUAAAUUGUGGUCCUUGUUUUGGCUCUAUAUGCUAUUUUUUUUAAUUUAUAAUCCGGGUGGUGUCUUUUACAAUCCAUUCCUACACACCUUGUUAGUUGGAUAAUGUUUUCACAUCCUCUGUAGUAUAAACAGAUUACCUAGCAUGCUGCAGCCUCUUAAACACUAAAUAUAUUUAUACUCUACCUAGGAUUGCUGAUGCUGAGGAGAACCUUGGCGAAAGUGAAGUACGCGAAGCUCAUCUGGCUAAGGCCUUGUUCUUCAUUAGGAUUGAAGAUAAGGUACAAAUGUUUUUCACUUUCUAUCUGCCGAUUAAUGUUUUCUGAUGACCAAAUUGCUUAUGUGAACAUAACUGGUAUGUUUUAUUGCCUCCAAAUCCAGGAAAAAGCUUUAGAACAGCUCAAGGUUACUGAAGGGAAAACAGUCGCUGUAGGUCAAAAGAUGGACCUAGUUUUCUACACAUUGCAGCUUGGCUUUUUCUACAUGGAUUUCGAUCUCAUUGCCAAGUCUAUUGAAAAGGCUAAGAAGUAUGUUUACUGUUUGUUAAUAGGUUGUAAAAAUUCAUCUGCAGUAUAUUAGGAAUGUGUGGUCUGAUUCUGGAAUCUUUUUGUGUAUGUGAUCAUGAAGCUUAUUUGAGGAGGGAGGUGAUUGGGAGAGGAAGAACCGACUAAAAGUUUAUGAAGGCUUAUAUUGUAUGUCUACAAGGAACUUCAAGAAGGCGGCCAACUUAUUUUUGGAUUCUAUUUCGACCUUCACGACUUAUGAGCUAUUCUCUUAUGAUACUUUUGUCUUUUACACUGUCCUCACAAGUGUUAUCUCCUUGGAUAGAGUUUCUCUUAAGCAGAAGGUAAUUUCUAUCAUCAAUAUGGUUUUGUUUUAAGUGUUUCGCUCAUACUUCUAGUGGAACAUGUGACAGGUAGUGGAUGCACCAGAAAUCCUUGCUGUGAUUGGCAAGAUACCUCAUCUCUCUGAGUUCCUCAACUCCCUAUAUAGUUGCCAGUACAAAUCAUUCUUCGCUGCAUUCUGUAAGUAUACUGUAUAGCUGCAUUGAUGAUCGGAGUUUUGUGAUUAUGAGAAAAAAAAGUCAACCUAUUUAUUUCCUAAUCUUUUGGACAUUUUUAUCUUAACCAGAAUUUUGGUGGGCUUUAUCAUAAAUAUCUGAUAGUUCCCAUCAGUAGCUAUACAUUAUUUCUGAAUCUUGUCUUACGAAUAUAUAUAUGGCCGUGGCUACUAUACUAUUAUGAGUAUUGGAGCCCUUGUAGUCAUAAGUUGUUUUCAAUGAUGGAGCUUCAGAAUCGACGAUCCACUCCGUUAAAUAUGAUCUAGAGUAUUUGAAACUUUUAUAAAAUAAAUUUCGUAAAUUUUUGAAAUCAUAAUAAAGUCCAUCAAGUGGGCAUAAAAUGAACGGUCAAAAUCGAACGACGUCCUAAAAAAGGAUGAUCGGAUCCUUCAAUUCAAGAUCAGAGUUAUUGAUCUUUAUCUAUGUAGUGAAUAGAAUUUUCUAUCAAAAAUUCAACAAAUUCCGAUUCUUUUACACCGUUAAACUAGCAAGUAUCCCAUACCGGCCGUUAAAAAUUGUCAAAUUUGUGACCUCUUGAUCGUAAGGUAAAUGAUGUCGAAAAUUUAUAAAAUUUGAUUUCUAGAAGUUUUAAAUGGUGCAAAUAACAUUUAACGGUGUGGAUCGUCGAUUCGGAAGCUCUAUCAUCGAAAACAACUUAUGAGUACGAGGGCGAUCGUACUCAUAAUAGUAUAGUAGCCGGACCCUAUAUAUAUAUAUAGAGAGAGAGAGAGAGAGAGAGAGAGAGAGAGUUAGGCUGGUAUACUAUCGAUAGCACCACGGGCUUGGUGCUAUUGAGUUUUCCACCGUUAGAUUUAACCCUUUGAUUAUCUUUACCCGUUAGAUUAUACUAUUCAACCAACCACCCAUUCAACCCUAGGGGGCCCACAUCAUCCUAACUGUACAUUUCUUAAUCCAAGGGCUAAAAAACUAAUAGUACCAAUAGUUUGGUGCUAUUGAUAGUAUUCCAGCCUAGUUCUAUAUAUAUAUAUAUAUAGAACCCGGUUGCAAUAUUGGCAACAACACCAAGCAUUUAGUGCUUGUAAGUUUCUCACCAUUAGAUCUACCCCUUGGACAUUUCUACCUGUUAGAUCAUACUAUUCAACCGACUACACAUUCAAUCCUAGGGGACCACUAUUAUUCUAACCGCACAUCGCUUCAUCCAAGGGCCGAAAACUUAAUAGUAUCAAUGACUUGCUGCUAUUAAUAGUAUUAUAGCCUAGUUCUAUAUAUAUACACACACAUAACAAAUACAGUUUGACUAGAAUGCUAUCAAUAGCACCAAGCACUUGGUACUACUGAGUUUUUCACCGUUAGAUCUAUCCCUUUGACCAUUUCCAUCUCUUAGAUCAUACAAUUCCACCAACCGCCCACUAAAUCCUAGAGGACCACUAUCAUUCUAAUAAUAUAUCUCUUCAUCCAAGGGCCGAAAACCUAAUAGCACCAAUGACUUGGUGCUAUUGAUAAUAUUCUAGCCUAGUUCCAUAUAUAUAUAUAUUGAACUAGGUUUGUGUGCGUAUAAAAGCACGGCGACCUUCGUGUUAUCAAGUCGUUUAUGAUGUUGGGACUUCCGAAUCGAUGAUCAGCUCUGUUAGACUUGAUCUAAAGUAUUUGAAGUACCUAGAAAAUAAAUUUUGCAAUUUUUUAAUAUUAUUUAUCUAGUGAUUGAAGGGGCCCAAAAUCAACAAUUCGAUCAUGGGACAUCCGAUUUGACGAUCGGUUUUGUUAGAUAUAAUUUACGAUGCUGGAAGUAUCUAGAAACCAAAUUUCAUAAUUUUUUGACAUGCUAAGUGAUCGAAGGGUCUCAGAAAUGACUAUUUUAAUGGCCGAUGUGGCAUGUUUGUAAGUUAAAUGGUGUAGAACAAUCAAAAUUAGGUGAAAUUUUAAUAAAAAAAUUCUAUUUAUCAUCAAGAGCAAGAUCAUUUUGUCUAACCUAAAAUUUGUCUUUUAUUACUAUUUUUUAUGAGAUUUUUUAUUUUUAGACGUUCAAUUUAGACUAUUCGUUCACUAGGCAAAUGAAGCUGAAAAAUUAUGAAAUUUCGUUUCUAGAUAGUUUCAAUAUAAUAAAUCAUUUCUAAUGGAGCCGAUCGCCACAUUGGAUAUCACAUCAUCGAAAACAACUUAAAAGCACGGAGGUUCCGUGCUUUCGAAAGCAUAGUAGCCUUAUAUGUAUAUACAUAGAGAGAGGGAGAGAGGGAGAGAGGGAGAGAGGCUUCAGUCCAGCUACUAUCCUCUUAAGAAGGUAGAGGCUUUUGUUCUGUCAAGUCAUUUUGGAUUAUUGGGACUCCGAAUUGAUAAUCGGCUACUAUCCUCUUAAGAAGGUAGAGGCUUUUGUCCUGUCAAGUCAUUUUGGACUAUUAGGACUCCGAGUUGAUAAUCGGUAUUGUUAAAAUUGAUCUACACUAUUAGAAAUAUUUAGAAACUGAAUUUUGUAAUUUUAAAAAUCAUUAUGAAGUCCAUCGAAAGAGUCGAAAAAUGAAUGGUUAAAAAUGAAUAACCUUGUGAAAAUAGAGGUUAGACUUUCUGAAUUCAUGAUCGGAGUUAUCAAAUGUUAUCUAAAUAGUAAAAAGAAUUUUUUAUUAAAAAUUCAAGCGGUUUGGAUUGCUAUACACUGUUAAACAAGCAGACGACUUACAUAGGCCGUAAAAAAGAGUUGAUUUUGCGAUCCUUUGGUCACUACGUUAAUAAUUUUCAGAAAUUAUGAAAUUUGGUUUCUAGAUACUUCAAAUACUGUAUAUUAAUUUUAACGGUUCUGAUCAUUGAUUCGGAAUCCCUACCUUCAAUAACUUGAUAGCGCGAAGACCUCCAUUCUCCUAAAAAGAUAGUAUCUGGAUUCUGUCAAUAUAUAUAAAGUAGAGUUAGAAUACUAUUGAUAGUAUGAGAAUAGUAUUUACUAGCAACUUUUGACCAUUGGAUGCCUUUGGGUUUAGUGGGGGUUCGUGGAAUAGUAAUAAUUCAAGGGUGGAAAUAUUGAUAGUAAAUACCAUUCAUAUACUAUGAAUAGUACAUUAGCUCCACUCAAUUCUCUCUCUCUCUCUCUCUCUCUCUCUCUCUCUCUCUCUAUAUAUAUAUAUAUAUAUAUUGAAACUUGUACUCCCUCUUAUGGAGCUCUAUCUUCUUCGCACAUUUGUUACACUUCUAUCUCAAUUACUUUAAUGACAUCAUGAAUGUUUUCUAUCUGAGAACUCAAACCUGAAAGCCACUGCUAUUUCCUUUUAGGCUUGAAGCAUUAUCUUAUUUACUGUUUUUGAACCUGGAAUGUAUAAACUCCUUUCUUCACUUUGUCUGCACCGUCAAAUUGCUCCUACAUUUUUCUCUGUUCUUUUGAAUGAUAAGCAACUUAAGUCACUCAAUUCUUAUUGUUGUAGUUGAAUGCUGAUGCAUAAUGUGCUUAAACUCUGUGAAGCUUUUAGUUUCAGUAUUUUUUGUCAAUCUAUUCAUGAAGAACUGUGAACGAUUUUUUUUUUUUGAAUUUAUAAUUUUGUGAAAUGCUUUUCAGCUGGAUUGACAGAGCAGAUCAAGUUAGAUCGUUAUCUACAGCCUCAUUUCCGUUAUUACAUGAGGGAAGUCCGCACUGUAGUUUAUUCUCAAUUCCUUGAAUCCUACAAGAGCGUUACGAUGGAAGCAAUGGCUAAUGCAUUUGGUGUGACCGUGGAUUUCAUUGAUCAGUAAGUAUUUUUGCUUUGAUUUGUAUUCUAUGCACCGUCAAUUUCUGUCCGUUAGACCUUGUUUGAUAUGUAUACUUUUUUCACUGGAUGGUCAAACCCUGAUAUCAUUGUUUCACUUUUUUCUCUCUAUCUUUUUUUUUUUCUUUUUUGGCAUAAUGAUGAAUUUAGGAUUUGAAGAUUUAAUCUUGACUUUCACACCGUCAGAGUAUUCCAGUUUAUUAUUUUAGUCCCUAACUUUUGUCCAACAUAUCUGCUACUUGUGUUAGUCUAUAGUCUUAAAGAAGAAUGUCACAUCACCAUUAUCGUGUUUAGGGUUUGCUGAUUAAAUAAAUCUUUUUAGGUUGGGGAACCUGUCAGCGAACUCUACUGACAGAAAUGACAUGAUGCUUAUUUCUAAGAUGGUAGAUUAAUGGGGGGACUUCGUUGUUAGGUGGGAUAAACUAUACGGGUCAAGAUCUGCAUCUAAACUUUCUUUUCUGCCAGGGAACUUUCUCGCUUCAUAGCAGCUGGAAAACUUCACUGCAAGAUCGACAAAGUCGCCGGCAUUCUAGAAACUAACCGACCUGAUGCCAGAAAUGCUUUCUACCAGGCAACUAUCAAGCAAGGCGAUUUCUUGCUCAACCGCAUCCAGAAGCUAUCACGAGUGAUCGAUUUAUAAACAAUCUUUUGUCCUUUAUACUUAAUAUGGUGCUGAAAUUUCCUUUCAUCUUUUCAUACAUCAACUCUAUGAAGCUCCUUAUCCCUAAAUUCAGUUGACAUUUGUUUGGACAGAAAUUUCUGAGUCAAUGCGUGUCGUUUUGAAUUCUUAUAUUUCCUGUUUGUCAUUUUAACUAAAAUUAGCGCACAAAUAGUUUUUUCGUGUUGGUAGUGCAGUUAAUUCGGCAGUACUGUUUACUUCAAAUUGAAUUUAUUGGUAGAUGUUUAGUGCUGGCUCGAUAAAAAUAACUGAAUUUUCUACACUUACCUAAUAAUCUAAGGGAAGCUGAGCACUUAUUUGCAAAAUAUGUUUUAUAUUUCUUGAAAUUUAGUUGCCUUUCCCUCUUUUCGUGUCUAGGCCGAUAAGAAGGAUAGGAUGGGAGAUUGAGUGCUGUUUGUGUUGGCAUGUAAGUUGUGAGAAGUUUGAAGUGGUUUUUGUGCGGUAGUCCGAGAUAUAUAACGAGCAAUUGCGUGCUGUUACAGGUCCUGUGUUGGCGCAGCAUAUAAUGUGAUGUGAAGGGUUUGGGUGGUUUUUAUGCACAAGUCCGAGAUAAUUGGGAAGUGAGUGCUGUUGUGGGUCUCUGUUGGCGUAUGUGAGGGGAAGGUUUUGAGUGGUUUUUAUGCAAUAGUCCAGACACAAUGUCUGAAUGAAUGAAUGAAUAUGCAAAUGCAUUAUCUUCUACCUAACCUACGGAGAUACAUUUUGGGGUUACAAAAUUAUUAGUGAGAAAAGACUAGUUUCCAGGUUACCGUCGCAAGUCACUUCUCAAGAUGGCAGCCACCGUGAGUUUGGGUUCUCCACUGUUAGCCCAGUGGAAUUUUUGCCCUCCGUCCGCUAGUGUAGACCUAGCAAUCACUAUCCAUGCGGAUAUUUACAGAUUACUUGCAAAUUUGUGACUAUAGAUAUUUAUUUUUUUUAUCCAAAAAAUUAUGGAUAAAAUAGGUGGAUAUUUAAUUGUUAAGUUGUGAGCAUUUUAGACAAUAUGUGGAUAUCUAUUUUUUGAUAAAAUGGGUGGGUACUUUUCAAGUUGUGGGCCUUUUGGACAACCUGCAGGUAGCCAUUUUUUAGAUAAAAUGGAUGGGUACCCGUUAAAUUAUAGGCAUGUUAGGCAACCCGCGGGUACCGACGGAUACCCGCAUAUAUUGUUUUUAAUUUAAAAAUAUAUACUCUUUAUGAUAUUGACUUUAUAACCAUGAAAAUUUUACUAAGUUUAUAUUAUAAAAUUUUCGGAGGACAAAAUACUUUUAUAUUAUAUUACGCUUCAUGAUUUUAUAUUGUUUGUUGGUAUUUUAAACAACAAGUUAUGUUAUACUUUUAAAAAUUAUAUAUUUGUGUUUUGUAUUUGAAAAAUGUAGAAGCGAAAAAGAAAAUUUUUUUUUUACGAAUAACCUGCAUACCCACCAAGUGGAUAUGGACCUGCACUAUAAAAAGAUGGAACAACUAUGACCCGGUUGUGGGCUCGACUAUCCAAAAUUUUACGGGUAAAUUUUAUCCAUGCCUAUAUGAUUCACGGAUAUAAUGAGCUGCUUUGCGGAUUACCCAAUCCCCAGUUUGCUAGUUCUAGUGAUAAGGCGUUUCCGUGCGGAGCUAAAUAUUGUAGGUGUGAUUUGGGUUAUACUAAAAAAAAAAUCUGUAUAGCCUCAAUUAGAAAGUAUAAGAGACCCCCACCACAUCUUUAGCUUGAAAGAGUCAACCAAGCAACCAAUCAGAUAUCAAGACAGCAGAAUUUUCAAGAUUCUUGAUAAUGAUAAAAUAACUUGGGAACAUGGCUAAACUAUCCAUCAUUCUCAAUAUUUGACUCUGAUGUAUGCUUUAGCCAUUCUUUUAUUAUAAUAACUUUUCUAUUCACCAACCGUCUCUAAAGCAAGUGGCAAAGGGCUUGAUAGUUGGUACCGGAGACCCAAGUUCGAAUUCUAAUUGAUUCACAUUUCCAGCUAAGUUUAUUUCUAAGUGAAAUAAACGAAUAAACGAAGCGGGUAGCGUGCUAUCUAUCUCUCUCAAAAAAAAAAUCUUUUCUAUUUCGAAAAACAGUAUAUGAUAUAAUUUUAUUGAGACAGAAAGCUACGUGAUUAGAUUUAUUCAAGCCCAUAAAGUUCAUCCAACUAUGACCCUCGAGAUUUAUUUUCCUUACAAUAGAAAAAUGUAUCCACUGAAUUCUAUGAAGCAAGAAAAAUCUCAGUAGGUGUUCAGUUAGCUAUUAUCAGAAAGAAGUUGUGCAAACCCUUUAUUUGACACUACUACAGGUAAUAUUGUUACACAGGAGACUGACUAUUCAAGAGAAACUUAUUUUAAUUUUAUCAUCAACCUGCAUAUGCCCGAGUACUAAUAAAGUUAACAUAAAACAGCCUCACAAUGGCAGCUUUUCUAAGCAGUAUGAUGAUGCUGCAUGGCCACAAGCUGAAGACCAGACCUCUUGUGCAUGGUCAUGCCUGGCAGCUCUUCCAUGUCCAUCUCCUCUCUCCUCAUUCCCUCCGGAAGCUCCCAAUCAAAAGAGUAAACCAAGUUUGCGACCGCGAGCUCGACCGACGUAGACCCGACACCCAUCCCCGGACAAAUCCUCCGACCGGACCCGAACGGUAUCAGCUCAAAAUCAUGGCCUUUGUAAUCUAUCGCGCUGCCCGUGAACCUCUCAGGAUUGAACACUUCAGGGUCCUUCCAUGUGCCGGGGUCUCUUCCUAUUGCCCAUGCAUUGACGUACACCCUCAUGCGCGGCAGCACAUCGUAUCCGCCGAUCGAGCAAUGUCGGAUCGCUUCGUGUAUGAGUAGUAGCGGGACCGGCGGGUGGAGUCUGAAUGUUUCCUUGAUCACUGAUUUCAGAUACGGCAGUUGCGGCAGAUCGUCUUCUUCCACCUUUCCUUUCGGUCCUACGACGGUUCUUACUUCAUUUUGCGCCUUCUUCAUGAGUUCUGGGUUCUUUAUAAGUUCCGCCACUGCCCACGUCAUGGCUGCGGCGGCUGUUUCGGUUCCAGCAACGAAAAUAUCCUAAUUAUUUUUGCGCAAAGAGGAGACGUUAGUCAACCGACAAUAUAGGUUACACAAGAAUUUUAGGUAACCAGUGUUUUAUAUUAUUAGCCAUCCACUGGUAAUUAGGACUGUGUCGCUUUACUAUACUCUAAUAAGAAGGUUAAUUGCUGUUCAUUCUAAUCCAUUUAUAUAUCUUGAGAUAUAUAAUGGAUCCUCGAUUGCAAUAAUUCAAUAAAAGUAGUUCACUAAUUGUUACAUGCUCAAUUUUCGACAUGUCGAGGCAAAUCUAUAAUUAAUUAAUCGGGUAGAACAUACCGAAAUCAACGCCUUAAUGUUGUCGUUUGUCAGGUGUUCUUUGUUAUCCCUCGAGAGCCGAAGCAAUGCGUCGACUACAUCUUCCUGAUCCGAUCUCGCCGUUCUCUCGCGACCGACGUGCUCAAGGAUGAGCUGCUCAUAGAAGGCAUCUAGCUCUCUCACAUUCCUCUCGAGCCUACUAAUGAGUCCGCGAAGCUUGUCGAUCCAUCCCAUCGACGGAAAGUAGUCCUCGACGUAAAACGAGCACAACAUGACCUGCAGCUCGUUGAAGAUCUUUUGCAGCUUACCGUCCUCAGCCUCCCGCUCUUGAUACUUCUUUCCGAGCGCAACCCUGCAUAUUAUGUUAUUCGCGAGAUCAACCAUCGUCUUACUCAGAUUAAUCGGAGCAGACGACGACGACGACGACGACGGCGACGAACGCGAGAUUGCUUCGAUCAUCUUCGACAUCUCAUCCUCUCUUAUGGCGCGAAAGAUUGGUGCCCUCUUGGCCCCGAAGAGUUCGACGGUGAACAGCUUCCUCAUCUCUCUCCAGUAUUCUCCGUAGGGCGAGAAGCUCACGUCCACGGAAUUGUAACUGUAUCUGUCUGUCGCCACGAGCCGCGGCCGUGAGCAGAGAUCGAGAUCGUGGGUUUUCAGAACUUCUCUCGCCAUCUCGGAAGACGAAACAACGACCGAAGGGAUGCUGCCUAGCUGCAGAAACAUGAGCGGGCCAUGCUUCUGAGAGAGGUUAUAGAAGAUUUGAUGAGGAUGAGGACCAAGUACUUGGUGCAAGUUCCCUAUGAUGGGGAGCUUCUUUGGGCCCGGAGGGAGGGUGUGUUUUGCACCUUUACUUGUGCGGUAUGAUGACAGGAGGAGGAGGAGGAUAGAGGGGAGCGCAAUGAAAAGAAGGGUGAGAAGUAUCUGGUAGAUAGCCAUUAGCAAGUGUUGAUUUGUUUCCGUUCCGAGAGAAAGAGGCCCAGAUGUGAGAAGGUUAACUGAUUCUCAGAAUCAUGAGAUGCUGAUGAUGAUUUAUACUGUCAGCUGUUGCAGGAAUUUCUGUUCUCUGCUAAGCCAUAUUGUCAAUUGCUGCAGGCAGCAGGCAAAGUUUGCUUUCAUGCUGACGUAUAUAUAUAGUUGAAAACUUGUAAUCCCACAUUUGCAGUUUACUGACCAGGCGCAAAAGUUCAAUUAGCACUUUAACCCCUAUAGCUUCUGCUUUAGUUGUCAUUAGAAUGCCCUAGCCUAUCAAUCAGUGUAUUUUCAAUGUUACAUACAUAUAAAACUAAAGAAUUUUAAAAGGGAUGUUGCAAAGCCACAACAUUGCGUUUAUAGAAACUCUUUUAAAUGGACUAAAUUACAAUCGUAAUAGAGUUGUAAGCAUAGCAGCAAAUCUUAAUAUAUAUUGGGCAUAUUUGGUCAUCUAUUUUAAACUAUAAAAUCGAAACAGAAUUCAUUAAUUUCGAUAGUUGUAGUUUGUUUUAUAGGAAUCGAAUUUCGAUUCCCAUUUCACUCCAGAAUGAGAACAUUCAAAUCUAUUUUGGGCCCAAUUCUGUUUUAAAUUUCGGAUUGGCCUAUUCUAAAGUAAACUAUUCAAAAUUCUUUUUUACCAAUACUUACUUCCUUUCUCUUAAUCCAAAUAUUCUCGCAAAAAUUCUAAAUUUUAAUUUCGAUUUUCAUUCCAAUAAUCAAUCAAAUAUUUUUAAAUAAUUUGUCAUUUUAUUUUUCAGUUUAAAAUAAAUUUUUUUUUUUUAAUUUUUAUGAACCAAAUCCAUUGAGUUGGUAACAGCUUUGGAUGCCGCAAUAUCUGACCUACUUUUGUAAGAUAAGAUCUGAUCUUUUAUUUAGAUAUAAUUUAUGUCUCAUAUCAUUUAAGAUUGUGCCUGUCUUUUUCCCCUCUUUUUUAAGUCUUACUUUUCAUCUUUUUGUCUUUUGGAGUAUUCACCUCCUCUCACGUCACGUUGACUAACUGACAUGUUCAAUGGUUCAUUUGCCACCGUUUCUUGGGACUCUAAUUGUGCGGCAAGCUUUCCGGGCCUCGAGUCUGUUAAUGACAUCAAAUUUAUUUUUAAUAAUUAAUAUUAUAAAAUAAAAUUUAUUUUUAAUAAUUAAUAUUAUAAAAUAAAAAUUUGACUUGAUAUACAUGAUCUAGUUAGCAAAAAUAAAAUUUUUUGAAGAGGAUUUUAUUGCCAAACUGAAGAAAUUACAAUGAGGAGCUCGCUUCAGACCUCUAUUCUAGCCUGAACCUCCAACAGGGAAGCCCUCGAAGUGACAAAGUUGCCAAAGGAUAAUGUGUCCGACGCUGGAAAAAUUUUAGAAUGUAACGGGUAUAUUGGUGAUGUGGCGUAACAAACCAAUCAAAUGUAUCCUUUUAGGAGUAUAUGUUCCAUCAUAAUUAUAAAAAAAAUAUUUUUAUUGCACUUUUGUUUGAAAAGAAGGAAUGUGAUUGGCUUGUUAUUAAUGACGUGGUACAGGUGUGACAGUGUAGAAUUCCUCCCGACGUAGGCAGAGCUGAAGGUCUAUGAGGCAUUGAGGAAUUAGAAGUGCCCUGUAGGUUAUCAACCUGCUACAUAUUCUUCUUGACGUUAUCGUCGGUACUUUUUUUUUUCCCUCCUAGUGUUUACUAUCGUUUGUUGAGGUUAAGACCCUGAAAGAUUAGGAUCUCGGCUAAGAAUCUGAAAUACUACUAAACUCUUUGAAUAAUGUGUUGUACGGAACGACUAAACCUACUGAAACCCUUGGUCUAUUCUCUAUCUAAAACUACUGAAAGCUAAAGCAUGUUUUUUUUUUUUUUUUUUUUUAAGAGAGAGAUAGAUAACACGCCACCGACUUCGUUUAUUUUAUUUAUAAAUAAACUUAAUUAGCUAGAAAUGUGAAUCAAUUAGGAUUCGAACUUGAGUCUCGGAUAUCAACCACCAAAUUUUUUGCCACUUGCUCUAGGGACGGUCGGUAAAGCUUAUGCAUGUUAAAGCUACUGAACUUAAUAUCUACUAUCUUAUAUUCUUUUUAAGUCUCUCAAUCUCUUAAAUUUGUGAAUGAUUAAUUAGAAAAAAAAAAGUCCCUCUAUCUUUCUGAUCCACUAACAUAUUUAUAGCCUCCUUGAAUCCGACUCUGAGUCCACCAUAUAUCCACCAAAUCUCAGCCAAGUACCGAAUUUUUAGUCAUAAUUAUCUCAUUUCCUUACAAUGAACGACCAAAAUUUUUCAGCGCAGUGGUCAAGAUUUCUCGUUUUCGAUUCACGCUAAUAUUCUUUGCCUCAAUAGCAACGGCCUAGAUUACCUUCCAUCCUUGAAGUCCAAUGGCCAGAUUUUGGAGCAUACAUAAAAUUAUAUAGGAUUAAAAAUUUUAUAAGUUGUCUAAAAAAAUAUAAAAUACAAUAUCUACUUGCAUGCCUAGUGCAAGUAAUAAUUUUCUUACUGUUGGGCCAAUUCAGUGCGGACAGCUGGCAAGUCGGGACUACGACCAUAAUCCAUGUCAAAAUGAUGGAUCGGGAGUAUAUAAAACGCGCCAGAAGAUAUGAGUCGCAUCUAUUCAAAAAGCGUAGCAACCGCAAGCGGUUAUGAGCAGUUCCAAUCGGCCGAAGGUGGUCCUAAAAAUCAGGAGAUAGUGGCCGAUCAUGCAGUGACAAUAACUGAACGCAAGGGCAACUUUAUAAAUAGACAUACGGCACCCUGAAAAAAGGGUCUUCGCCCCUGCGCACAAAAAACCACCUUUAUUUUCCUGCAUCUUUCUAUUCUCGCAUUUAUCGCUUUCCUUAGGAGUAGUUCCUGUAAUUUAGCAUACUUGGAGUCUGUCUGCCCUAAGGGCAUCACUCUCCUGUUCUCAUACUUAGAGUCUGUCUGCCCUAUGGGCAUCACUCCCCUAUUCUUGUACUUUUCCCAUUUGCUAUUCAAUAGAAAAUCAUUUUCGGCUCUUCCUGCCGAUCAGAUCUCGAGUUGCUUAGCCAUUCGGCUCAUCUCUCAGUCGAAUUCUGGGCUUCCCCUCUCCAUUCGGCUCAUCCUGCCGAAGCGAAUUUACUGCAGAGGUUUUCAAACCCGGCUGAUUCGAUCCUUCAUCGGCCGAAUCGCUUGAUCCAUCGUGGGCGCAAACUUCGAGGGUCAUCAUCCGCGGCCGCGGCCGUAAUUCCAACUGAGAUAACAGUUACUUUUUUAAGGAUAGAGAAACAAAAAGACCUCUCGGCUGAUGAAUAUAUUGAUCUAAUGAAAGACAAAGCAGAGGAGAUAAUAGAUACUCGGUUGAUAGUUUUAGACAAUAUGCAAGCAUACCAAAGCCGAGUACGUAGUGCAUAUAAUAAGAAAGUUCGAUCAAAGACGUUUGUCGUCGGUGAUUUAGUACUUCGGCUAGUUUUUCCAAUCAGUCAAAAAGACCGAAUGUAUGAAAAAUGGUUCCCAAAUUGGGAAGGACCAUUCCAGAUUAGCCGAAUCACAAGAGGAAAUGUAUAUUACUUGCAAAACAGGGAUGGGUCAGAAAGUGAAAAAUCAAUCAACGAAAAAUAUUUAAAGAAAUAUUACCCAUCUAUAUGGGAAAAUAAUUAAAGUUAAAGGUAGAAUAUUACCAGCCGAAUCAAGAUAAUAAGUCUUUGAGUUGGUUCCAUUCGGCUAUAAGGUUAGCUUGGGCGGCUUCAGCAGCUUUCCUUCGGCGCUUCAUCAGAGGAUGAACUUUGUAAAGUUGAGAAAGCUCCUCUUUAAGCCUUAUCCCCUCUUCCCUUUUGGACUUCAAUUGAUCUUUUAGUUGAAGUCGGCGCUCAGAGGUUUGUGCCAGAGUAGAUUCGGCUGCUGCUAACUCUUCUCUAAGAGUGAAGAUCCGCUUUUGUAGAGCCGAUUCUUGAUCAGCCAAUUCUCUAUCCUCUCGAUGCACUUCAGUAUUCAGAGCUGCUAUAUCAGAAAUAUUCUUCUUAAAAUGAUCAACACGAUGAAAAUGUUGAUCUAAAGCUACAAGUUCGGCGCCCAAAGAUCGCUGCCGAGCCAAAAAAGAUGAAAGUUGAAGUAAUAAGAUUGCUACAAAAUAUUUUAUACCGGGAGUAAUAUCUGAUUGAUCGGUUAAAUCAAGUAAAAGGGCAUAUAGCCGAUCAAAUUGUUCUUAAUUUUGAGCCAAACCAGGAAUACCGGUGCCAUAUAUUUUAAGACAUUCAUCAAACUUGCUUCGGGUGUCCGAUGAAAUGACAAUGGUUGAAGAGUCAUCCCCCUCGGUGGAACUGGGGCUUGAAGUCAAAAAGGAUUGAAGGAUUGCAGAUAAAGGAUCAUCAGAAAUAGGAGAAGAAGCCUCCUGGGUUGAGCGGGGAGGUACAGUACUUUUAUCUCCAAAAGUUUGCUCAAGAGGUAUGUUUAUUUGUUCUUUCCCUGUAGUUGAGGUUGGGAUAGGAGCAGAACGAGGUGAUGCAACCUCGCCCGGUAACGGCAUCGUGCCUGCCGUUUCAACAUAUUUCUUCUUCUUUUCCAUCCCUCUCUUUUUCUCGAGACGGGCUUCCCUGCGAAGCUGCCGUCCCAUCUGCAUCUUCGAAUAAUGAGCAAAAGGGGCUCGUUCAGGAGAGGACUGUAGUUUAAAAGAAAAUAAUAAAUAAUUAAGAAAUGUUCUUUUCGUACAAUUAAUUAAUUUGGCUUACCCCUACAUCAAUCGUUUCGGUUGGAGCAAUUUCUUUGGACGGAAUGUCAGCCGAAGGAAUAUCCUCGGUUUUGUCUUUAGCGGUAUCAGUCAAAAGGGUACUUUCGGCUUGUUGAAAUUUUCUUUUAGCAACUGACUUACGCCGUUUGGAAGACAGCGGAGGAGUAACUUGGACAGUCUUAAUUGGUCUCUUAUCUGAAGUCGGGACCGAUGAAGGAGUGGGUAUAGGCUGACAAUGAAAGUAAAGUGAGUAUUACAAACAUCAAAAUAGAAAAACAAAGGAGGAAUAGAACAGAAAACAUUACCGAGGAAGAAGGCAGAGUUUCAGCAGCCUCUUCUGAUUUUUCUUCUGAUAUAGAUGGCUCGACAGAGCCUUCCGAUUGAGUCCUACUUGGAAAAGGAGCUACAAAUAAAAAAACAAAUGAGUAGCGAUAAUUAUAAGCAGGAAGUUAUUUUCAAAAGAAAUAUCGUACUAAGAGGAUGACGAGUCUUGCGAUGUGCAUGCGAGAGGACAGGAGCGAAGGUUUUCUUGAGGAAGAUAUCCCAAUUUACAGUAUAGCGAAAACCUAAUACUCCGGUAUGAUUUGUCCUGAAGCUAAUCAAUUUGAAAAAUCGCCGUAGACGGUUUCCAAUAGCCGAAAUCUGAUCGGCGUCAGCUAUACUCUUGGUAGGCGGGCGAUGACUGGCAGUGUUAGCCGUGAAAGCUUGGCCGGAGCAGGAAUGGCCUAUGUAAAACCGAAUUGGCGUGCCACAAACUGUGGAGAGUAAACCUCAGUACUGGGUAAUAACUUUGAGCGUGAUUUCAAGCCGAUAUGCAAGUCCCGAGGAGCCUAAAAAGAAUACCAAACAUCAGAAUACUCGCCAGCACGAGAAGAGGCGAGUUCACCUUGAAGUGAUUCAUAUCUGGCUAAAAACCAAGGGGAGCCAGUGACUCGAUCAGCAAAAGUAGACCAAUAAAUAAGAAAGUGAGGGCUCGAAUUAUAAAAAACGGAAAAAUAAGUGAGGAAGUCCAGGGGAUGCCUAGGUGUAAACGGUGGAGGACAGCCAGAGCAAGUCCAUAGGAGUCAAAACGAGCAGCCGAGCUCAAAUCUAAAGGUUCUCGGCACAGCCUACUGAAAUAAAUUUGCAAAAACAUCUGCAAAAACCAAAAAACGCCGCAACCCGAGCUAAUGGUGACACCAUCGCCAGUGGGUGACGGCCUAAUAGAGUCAAAAAUUUCUCUGUAAACAAAAGCAAGAAAAUAGGGCCCAAAGGCCAAUUUAUCGCCGUUAGAUAAACCAAUGGUGAUAGAAACAAAAUCUCGGUUAAUCUUCUGCGAACGAGUGCAGAAAAGAUUAUGACAUAACCAGUACAGAAGGAAUGUCGUAUGUUCCUUCUUGGUAACUGGAGCAGGAGAUUCACCUGCAAACUUACGAAGAAAUUUGGAGUAGGUCAAAUCAUUGAGAUCAAGAUUGGCCUCAAAAUCGGAUACGUCAUUAGGGUUAUAAGCCAUGGAAAGGGUAAUGCCAUGAGGGCGCAGGCCAAUAAUGGCGGCGACAUCAAAAAGAGUUGGGGUGAGAGGGCCGCUUAUAAAAAGACAAAUGUUAGAAACAGGGGACCAGAAACAAACGGCGGAAGCCAAAAGAAGGAAAUCAGCUGAAGGAGGUUUUCGGGAUAGUUGAAUGGCUUCAUAGAUGCCAGUUUCUCGCCAUAAAUCGCCAUAAGUGGCUUGUACACGAUCCAACCCAGCCAAAUAGGCGUCUGAGGUAGUAGGCCAGGUUCGAAAACUUCUUCUCGUCGAAGCCGAAGGAUACCAUGAAUAAAGAUGAAUAUUUUCAGCCAUCAAAGGAAGACCUUCAUUAGAAAAAGGAAAAUCAUCGGCAGAUGGAUCGGCGGUAAAGGAGGGACCCAAGAUAAACCUGGCAGGGUCUGAAUCAAGAUAUGGCCUAAGCAGAGUAUAGUCCAAUGAAGGACGAGUAGGCAAUGGCGGAAGAGGCGCCAUUCUUCGAAGCAAAAGAAAAUGAAGAAGACGCCAAAAGAAGCGAAAGAAGAGUUUCCUGGAAAACGGAGAAGGAAUAGAAGAGACAAAAAGGCAAAAGUUUGGAGAAGAAGAAAGGCUGUCGUGUUGAACCGUCGCAUCGAACCAAGUUUCGAGGUCGGCUUUAAUGAUGAUUAGAUGGCGGUAAUUAAGAUGACCUAAUUAAUGUCGCGUAUGAGACAAAAGUAGAGAAUGUGAUCGAGGCCGUAAAGAAGAGGAUCAACGGCCAAAAUUAAACCGUACAAAAGAUUGUGCUACAAAUUGCUGCAGAUUAUGUCAGAGAAUUUGAAUUUGAUUGGGCCGAGGAAGACGCCUCGGAUCGCACUUGUUUUCAGAAGAUAAGACGAAAAGUAUACCAAGGGUUCAAAAGAUAAUGCCAGCUACCGAAACAUCGCUUCGAAAGCUGCCGAGGGGGCAAUUGUUGGGCCAAUUCAGUGCGGACAGCUGGCAAGUCGGGACUACGAUCCAUGUCAAAAUGAUGGACCGGGAGUAUAUAAAACGCGCCAGAAGAUAUGAGUCGCAUCUGUUCAAAAAGCGUAGCAACCGCAAGCGGUUAUGAGCAGUUCCAAUCGGUCGAAGGUGGUCCUAAAAAUCAGGAGAUAGUGGCCGAUCAUGCAGUGACAAUAACUGAACGCAAGGGCAACUUUAUAAACAGGCAUACGGCACCCUGAAAAAAGGGUCUUCGCCCCUGCACACAAAAGACCACAUUUAUUUUCCUACAUCUUUCUAUUCUCGCAUUUACCGCUUUCCUUAGGAGUAGUUCCUGUAAUUUAGCAUACUCGGAGUCUGUCUGCCCUACGGACAUCACUCUCCUGUUCUCAUACUUGGAGUUUGUCUGCCCUACGGGCAUCACUCCCCUAUUCUUGUACUUUUUCCAUUUGCUAUUCAAUAGAAAGUCAUUUUCGGCUCUUCCUGCCGAUCAGAUCUCGAGUUACUUAGCCAUUCGGCUCAUCUCUCAGUCGAAUUCUGGGCUUUCCCUCUCCAUUCGGCUCAUCCUGCCGAAGCGAAUUUACUGCAGAGGUUUUCGAACCCGGCUGAUUCGAUCCCUCAUCGGCCGAAUCGCUUGAUCCGUCGUGGGCGCAAACUUCGAGGGUCAUUAUCCACGGCUGCUCAUCAUCCCGACGCUCUUCCCGAGGAGGAUACUUGACUGGGUCAAGGGUCGGGACUUUCGGCCACCAACACUUACACUUGCCUGCGCUAGUCUAUUAGUGCAGUGCACACAAUGAACCGAAUUUUUAAUUAUUUAUAUUGUAAACAUAAAUUUUUAUCCAAUAGAUAGAUAGAUCUAUAUAUACCAUUUAAAAAGACUAUGCAUAAAGACUUUAUGAAUAUAUUGUGUAUAAGAUGUACUACGUACACCUACUGCUAGAAACAACUACUUUCACUGCUAUCCCAUAUUUCUAUUGAUCUAUUAAUUUAUUUAAAUUACUUCAAUAGCUUUGUUUCUUAUUGUUAUUCACAUAUAUUUGCCUUUAUAAAUAAUUUAAUUACACCGACCGUCUCUAGCACAAGUGGUAAAGGACUUGAUGGUUGGUAUCCGAGACCCAAGUUCGAAUCUUAGUUGAUUCACAUUUCUAGCUAAGUUUAUUUCUAAAUGAAAUAAACGAAGCGAAUAGCGUGCUACCUAUCUCUCUCAAAAAAAAAAAAAAAAAAACUAAUAACUCUUUAUUUCUCUUAUACCAUCUUCUUCUUCAUUUUUAGCCAACUCUAUUUAAAUUAUUUUAAUAAAAAUUAUUUUUUAUUUUUAUAUUUUAUAGUCUUAUAAAAUUAUCAAAUUAUUAAUAAGUUCCAAUAAAAAUUUUCUUCAUUACUUAAUUAAAUAUAGUUAAAGAAUUUUGUUAUAUAUAUAUAUAUAUAUAUUUAUUUAUUUAUUUAUUUAUAUAGAACUAGACUGGAAUAAUAUCAGUAGCACCAAGUUAUUGGUGCUAUUAGGUUUUCGCCCCUUGGUUGAAAAAAAUGUACGGGUAGGAUGAUGUUGGGCCUCUAGGGUUGAGUGGGUUAUUGGUUUAAUAAUAUAAUCUAACGGGUGGAAAUAGUUAAAAGGUUAAAUCUAACGGCGGAAAACUUGAUAACACCAAACGCUUAGUAUUAUCGAUAGUAUUCCAGCCGGACUAUAUAUAUAUAUAUAGAGAGAGAGAGAGAGAGAGAGAGAGAGAAAGAGAGAGAGAGAGAGAGAGCUAGGCUCCUAUGCUUUCGAAAGUACGGAGGCCUCCAUGCUUGUAAGUUGUUUUCAAUGAUCGAGCAUCCGAAUCAGUGAUCGGCUCCAUUAGACAUGAUCUACGUUAUUUGAACUAUUUAUAAACUAAAUUUCAUAAUUUUUUGACUUCAUUUGCCUAGUGAAUAAGUAGGCUCAAAAUGAACGGCUAAAAAUAAAAAUCUCACAAAAAAUAGUGAUAAAAGACUCAAAUUUUAAAUCGAAAGUAUUGUUCUUAUUUUUUAUGUUAAGUAAAAUUUUCUAUUAAAGUUUCAUGUAAUUUGGAUUCUUCUACACCGUUGAUCUUUCAAACGUGCCACAUCGGCCGUUAAAAUAGUUAUUUUUGAGACUCUUUGAUCACUUAGUAAAUGAUAUCAAAAAAUUAUGAAAUUUGGUUUCUAAAUAUUCUAAUAGCGUAGAUCAUGCCUAACGGAGCCGAUCGCUGAAUCAGAUACCCCGCCAUCAAAAAUAACUUACAAACACAGAGGUCUCUGUACUUUCGAAAGUAUAGAAGAUGUACUAUAUAUAUAUAUAUNUAUAUAUAUAUAUAUAUAUAUAUAUAUAUAUAUAUAUAUAUAUAUAUAUAUAUAUAUAUAUAUAUAUAUAUAUAUAUAUAUAUAUAUAUAUAUAUAUAUGUAUGUAAGUAUGUAUGUUUAUACAAUAACUGAAUUGUGUUUCAAUUAAUUACGUUAAUCAUUUCAACCUAUAUUAUUUGCCAUUUAGUUAUACAUAUAUCAUUUUUAAUUUGUUAAUUACUAAUUAAUAAUAUUUUAUUAAGAUUUCUGUCGCACAUAUACCGAUUUAAAUUAUUUUUAUUUAAAUUAAUUUCAGUAAUAAUCAGGUUAGUAAAAUGCUAUAUAUAAAAAUUAACUAAUUAAGUUUUAUUACUAGAAUAUUUUAUAUCUGAGGCAUCGCACGUCCUUAAUUAACUAGUUCUAUAGAUAUGUGUAUUUAUACCGGUUACGGAAUUCGAUUUCUACCGUAUAUGUGUAUUUAUAUAUUAUGGAUACGUAUUGGAGUAUUCAUUCAAAUCUACAGAAAAACAUUAGUAUGUUUAAAAUUGUUCAGAAAAAUUUAAUGAUAUGCGCAGGUACGUAUAUUUUCUUCACUGCAUUAAUUUCUAUAUAUGUCAAUGUGAUACUUAACCUGUAUCUGCUAACACACUGUGUUAAAUUAAUCAAAUGUACAAUUCAUGACAUCUACUCAUUUGCAUGGAGGGCCCAAAAAUGGGUUUAUUAAUUGUUUGCUGAUACACAUUCGAUUCGUUCGCAAAAUAAUUAAUAAUUAGGUAAUUUCAAUCUUAGAAUCUAUCUAUUAUUUAUGACUAUGGAGCUAGAUUCAUAUAAAGUCUCAAAUGAAAGCAACUUGCGUGUGGCUUCUUUCUUUGUUAUCUUCUUUCUUCCUCACCUUCAUGCUUAGCAUUUUCAAAUCACCAUGGUUGUUUCCUUUUCUUAAUUAAUUUUCUCUAUUUAUGAGACAAUUCAACUCCUGACCUAACUGAGCUCUUAGUACAUUUGCUGUUGGCGACUUUUGCUGUGUUUAAUUUGAUGGGCCAUCUUGUACUCGACCCUUGCGUAUGCUCAAUUUUUUUUUUUUUUUUAAAAGAAAAUAGUGCUGCGAGCCGAUUUCUUUGACCGCUGACUCGGUCAAAACCCUCCUUCGAGAAGUGUGCGAGGAGGCGGAAUGGCUACGAAUGAUGACCCUCGAAACUUGCGCCCGACCGUUAUCGAACAAGUGAUUCGUUGAUGAGCGAUCAGAUCAACCGAGUUCAACACCACACAGCCAAUUCGGUUUGGCUGGAUCAGCCGAGUCGAGGAAUAGCGCAAUACCUUUUUGUUCUGUUGAAAAGGGCCAAAAUGUUUAUAUAUUGCAUAGAAUCGAAAAACGUUUACAAAAAGGAGUGCGCCGCAAUGGUGUACAAUAAGGAAAAAUCUAACCUACCAUCUACUUCUAGAAAAUACAGUAAAUGCGAGAAUAGAAAAGAAUUACAGAUAGACUACUCCUAAAAAAUAGUAAAAUGCAGAAAAAAUGGAAAUUGGUCUUCUUAUUCAUAGAGGAAAAGGACCCCCUCUACCAGACGUCCUCUGUUUAUAUAUUUAUAGCUCUACAUGUUGCUUAUUUAGUUAUUCUCCACCAUCGGCCACGUUCCUGUUUCUGUGGAUCACUUUCGGCUGAUUAACUGAGUCGGUUAUAACCGCAUUUCAAUUUCAGGUGCACUUUUUCAAUUCCUGUUGCACCACAUGUGGUCUAAUUGCUGGCUUUAGGGACCGUUCUUGUGGUGCACCUAGUCCAUAACGUGACACGAUUUUUGUGGCACCAACAAACAGAAAAGAAAAAGUUCGAAUUAGAAUAGAUAAUGAUGUCUUUUGAUAGUAGAGUGUGAUUUGUGUAUAUUCUCAAGUAGAGAUUUUUAAGUAGAUUCUUAAGUAGAUACUAAGAGAUUCUCUUAAAUGUAAAUUAACAGAUUCUCAAGUACCUACAUAUGGAUUGUAUGGGAAUGAAUUUAUAGUCCAUAUGAAGCAAAUAUGGUUCCCAAAAUUAGCACUACAGAAAAAUGCGCUUGUAGAGGCGGUUUUUAGUUAUUGUAGAAACCGCCACUACGAAUCGUAGAGACGGUUCUAGCGACCGCCUUUAGAUCGCCGGUGUGGACACCGCCUUUCCGGGGAAGCUUAGAGGCGGUUUUGUAGAGGCAGUUUAAACAGCCUCAACUGAUAUAUUUUUUAAAUUUUAUUUAAUAAUUUUUUAUUCAUCUAAUAGUAGUAUAGAGGCAGUUCUUAAACCGCCUCUACAGAAUAAUAAUUUUGUAGAGGCGGUUUAAACUGCCUCUACAACAUAUUAUUACGUAGAGGCGAUUUGAACCGCCUCUACGUAAAGAAUAGUAUAAAAAAAAAUUAAAAUAAUUAUUUUAACCUGCAUUUAUACAUAAAGAAUUACAACUCCUUUGACAAUUAAAUGAUCUAAAAUACUAAUACAAUUAUAUAGAGAUAACCUAACAGUUUUUUCACAUUAUCAAAAAUUUUACAAUUCAACAUAACAGAUAAUUCAAAAUACAUAAUCUCAUUUAAUAUCUAACAUUUAUAGUAGCAAUAUACUAAAUAAAAUAAAUUUUAAAUAGUUUCAAAUAUAAUCGGCAUUCGAGUUUUCAAUAAUUUGUAAAAAUUUAAGCAAUUCUUUGAUAUCCUUCAGUCGUUAGCUUGUGACUUGCAUUGGAGAGGGACGGUGUAACGACCCGCCUACUAACAAUAAUAACUCGUUGAGCCCAACCACUAGCCCAAAAUGCUUAAAUCUAGUUAUUAUUACUAGUGUCUAAGUCUCUUAUAUACCUAAUCAUAGAAUUAUUGGGGUGUGACAGACUUUCCCCGUUAAGGCCCUAACGUCCUCGUUAGUUCAAUCACAUGGGGUGUGACAGACUCCCCUCGUUUAGGCCCUGACGUCCUCGUCAGUCCAAUCACACACACAGCCCAAGAUCACCAGGCGAUGUGAGACUCAUCUCGCUAGCCUUGUCACCCAGACCCAUCACACACACAGCCUAAGAUCACCAGGCGAUAGACUCAUCUCGCUAGCCUUGUCACCCAGACCCUGGCAUAGCCGGUCACCCUUGUCAUACAGACUCCGGUAUAGCCUAUCACCUUGUCUUUUAGACCCUAGCUUAGUCGAGAUUCACCACACAUUUUCGGCUGGUGAUUGGCUCGAUACCAAAUAUAACGACCCAGCCCACUAGCAAUAAUAACUCAUUGGGCCCAACCACCGACCCAAAAUGCUUAAGCCCAGUUAUUAUUACUAGUAUCUAAGUCUCUUAUAUAUCCAAUCACAUCCUCAUUCCUAUCCGAUGUGGAAUUAUUGGGAUGUGACUAGGGGUGUAAAACGGGCCGGGCGGCACGUGGGCCGCUCGGCCCGGCACGGCCUCGGGCAGGGCUAAAGCCCGGCAUGGGUACUGUAGCACCCGUGCCGGGCCGGGCCGGCCUGAGGCUCUGGGUCGUGCCAGCCGGGCCCGGACCCCAUGGCCGAAGGCAACUGCCUUGGGCCAUGUGGUCUGAGCACCUGGGGAGGCCCCCCUCCCCAGAAGCUCUCCUCCCAGACCUUGGGAGGUGCAGUUAGGUCCAAUGGACCAAAAUAUUUUGGUCCAUUGGACCAAAAUCUAUAUUUUUAUUUUAAAAAUAAGACAAAUUUUUACUUUAGUAUAAUUAUGUUUAUAUUAUUUUAAUCAAAAUAUUAAUUUUAAAUAAAAAUAUUGGGUGUUUAUAUUUUAAUUUUUUAAAAAAAUUUAAAAAUAAAUAUUUUAUUAGGCCGGCCAGAAGCACGGCNAGGCCCGGCACGGCCCAUGCCUCCCGGGCCGAAGGGCCGUGUCUGGCCAGUGGGUAGAUAAUUUAAGCCCGGCACGGCCCGGCCCGGCCCGAAAUUAAAUCCGGGCCAGGCCGGGCCGGCCUCGAGCCCGUUUUGGCCCUAAAAAUGUGGGCCCACAUUACACCCCUAGGUGUGACAGACGGUUUGGAGAGAAUGCAUCAUUCGCAUUAUUGUUGACACCUACUUAACCUAAAAACAUAUUGAACAAAUUAAAAAUAGUUAAUUACACUAAAAUUUGAAAGUUUUCAAACAUAUUAGUCAUAACUUGCUACCAAAUUAGUAUACUUGACAGUUGAGAAAUCUAUUAAAAAAUAAGGCACUAGAAGACUGAGAUCAAACCUGGUGCUUGGUGGGUGCCAAAUGAUAUCAAGAAAAUGUUCCCAAAAAUACUAAAACUUGUGCCUGCAAAACCCUACAAAAGAAGAAUAAAAUUUCUCUACAAUGAUCUCAAAGUAGAUAGGUCUCCAAAUAAGGUAUAUCAAUAACGAUUAACUUAGUGAUAAUAAAACUAAAAUCUUAACAAAAUUUAAGAAUAGAAAAAAUUAUUAUAAGGAAGACAGUAUAACUUACCUAAUCUUCAAACAAAAGAAUAAGAUGAGUAGGUAUAUAUAUUGAACCACAAUAUGUGAGGAGUAAGUAUCAUAAGAUAGAACCUCAUAACUAUUCCGCACAAACCAUUCCUGAAAAAAAAAAAGAGUUUAGCUAAUUAAUUAAGCACAAAAGAGAUUAACUUACUAUCUCAAUAGGGAUAUCAUUAAGCUAUUCCCUAGAAAACUACUUCUACACUGCUAGGUUAUUGUUGAAACUGAGCCAAGAAUAUUGCACAAAGUCGCACAAGAUCGUAUUGAACAAAAAGACAAUAUUCUAUCCAUCUCUGUCAGACACACAAAGGAAGAAAUUUGUUCUUGUAAUUCAUGAGAGAUUACAAGAUCUUGGUGGAAAGCUCUACGUAGAAUAUUUCUAGUUUGCUCCUUCCGCAGAUCACUAUAUAAAAUAAUCAAGCUUUUAUGAAUUAUCAGUCGAGUCACAUGAAACUUGAAUGAUAUUGAGCAGAUAAGAUAAAUUAUAGUAACUAUUCUUUCUUUCAUAAAUAAUGAUGAAUAAAUUGUUAUACCCAGUAAUAACACUGAACUCUACUUUUAAGAAGUAUUCAUUUAGUCUUAGAUAUGAAAUUUAACUGCAUAGUACAUGAACCAACUAAAGAACUAAUAUAUUGAAAACAUCAGGAUCAAAUAUACUCCAAGAAACAGAAAUUUGGGAAAACUGGGAAAAAUCUCACAGGCCUUUACAUGCUUCAUUUAAGCAAUUUCCACAAAUAAUAUUCACCUAAAAUGGGCAUGCCCAAGUCCAGAUAAAGUUAUCUAGUGUAAAUUAAAUGAAUGAUUACCAAAUGUGUGUAAAACUGAUGAAUGCUGGAUUGACACUCGAAAGUAAUUAGUUAUCAACUUGAGCUGUACGGCCCAAUUUGUGAAAGCUUUGUUCACAAUUAGUUAUAUCUCCAUAGUAGAAUCUCUGAAAUUAGAAUUAAAGAGGAUUAAAGAAAGAAUGCAAACUAGAAUUUAUUUAUUGACAAUGUAAACACGACUCUGAUCUCACAUACACAAUGUAAGGGUGGCUUUAUCAUUUAAAAUAGACAACAAGAAAUAUCUACAAACAAACGAAACUGGUCUAUAUUUAAGAUGACCCCAAUCUAGCAUUAAGAUUAAAGACCAAUUUGAUUUGAUUCGAAGUUGAUUUGAGUUGCUUGCAAUACCAGGACAAGCUACUGCAAUAGCGAAGUUGAAUGAAAACUACCUUUUUCAUUAUUUUUGGAAAGUGCUGAGGGCGCUACCAAUUUACCUGAAUGAAGUCUAGAGUCGCCGAAUCAGUUAUAAACUAGCUUGAAGUAGUAUAAUCGCCAAAAUCAACAUAACCUAAAAUAUUAAAAUUAAGGACGGAUCAAUUGCACUAUGCAGCAUAGCAUUAUAAAAUAGGACUUAGAAUGAUCAGUAGUUAAACAAGAUGCAUCGUCAUAUCAUGCUAGAGAAAAUACAGAGCUUACAACGUUGUUGAGGAUAUGAAAAACAAGUGCAGGAUAGAGACGUUCAUUUUAAAAUUCUCAUCCACUUAAUAGAAAAAUAUGAUAGUUUCUACCAUUAGUUAAAUAGUAUACAUGCAUUCUAUGUAUGGUCUAUUAUGCUUCAAUAAGACUUGCAGAUCUCAAUACUAUUGUUCUUUCACUAAGUCAAAUAGAAUGUCACCUUCUACAAAAGUGCUAUAUACCAUUUCAGGCAAUUAUAAUAGUGAAUCAAAAAUAUAUGAUGCUUGUUUUGAGAAACUUUUGAAUAGUAAAGAGCAGUUAAGCCCAACGAAUAACAGAAAAAACUUAGACUGCACCAAAAAUUUUGUUUUAAAUAUUUUAAUACUAUACUACAAAUUAAUAUGAUAUACUGCUUAGGAUUGGCACUUUACAUCUUUGCAUAAUCGGACAACCAAAUCAGAAUCCUGCUUAUGAAAACAGAAAUGAACAAUAGUCUCCAGGUUAAAGGAAUGCCCUUCAAAUACAUAAAUAUAGACCAAUUUUAACUUUUUAAUUAAAAAAAAUACUCAUAGAAUAACUAUCAAAACAAUAAAAUUUGAUUAAAUUUUUAAAUAAAAUUAUUAAAAUAAUUUAACUCUAUAAAUAUUGAAAGUUAAGAAAAUAUUAUGUCAUGCUCCGAGAUCCCUUUUUAAGUAAGAAGAAAGGGAAAGUGUUUUUUUUUUUUUUUUUUUUUUUUUUUUGAAAAAUCUUGACCCUAGAAGAUGCCAGACCGGACACAAAUUAGGAAACUCACUGUUCAUACGGACAGAACCUCACCUAUAUUUGCACGGCUUCGCAAAAGUACAAGAUACAGCCACAAACAUGCACAAAUCAUGUAUACAUUCACCACAUCACAAUAUCACGAUUUAUAUUCAAUCAAUCACAAGGUUACAAUGUUUCAUUCAUAAAUCCAUAUAUGUUAUUUAAAACUUUUCCUAUCCGAAAACUCAUUUUAAAAUACUAGAAUCACAAAAAGCGAAAAAUUCUUUCUAAAACCGUUUUCCACACGGACUCCUUUUCUUUUAAAAGGGGCUACCACCACGAGGGGUAGAAACCCCAGCACAGGGUGCAUGCCUGUGCCAGUUGGUUCGGGCCCAACACCCGCGUAGGGACGCGCGGGCCCACGCAGGCCAGGUCGCACUCAGCGCAGGACGCGGGCUUGCACGAUCCGGGCUGAGCCCAGCGCCAGCGUAGGUCCACGUAGGCCUGCGUGGGCCGGGUUGCCCAGCACAGGUGCGUGCCUGCGCUAGCCAGGCCCGCGUGAGGUGCACAGUGGGCCGGGCCAGCCCCUAUGGCCAUUCGCAGCGCGGAAGGCUAGGCAGGGCCGACAUGCCUGCCCGCAAUCUGCGAGUCGCGGCCGCGCACGCUGGGAGGGAUGGGCCAGUCCCAUACGUCCACCUGCGGCGCGAGGGUCAGCCCGCGCAAGCACGGAGGGCUGGGCAGGCCCCAUGUGCCCACUGGCGGCGCGCGGGUCCACCGGCAAGCACGCGGCGGGCUAGACGGGCUGGCGGACCAGCCAGCGUUGCGCGUCCGCAACCCACACGGGCGGCCGGCCAGGCACCGCCUUGACGCCCUCCCACAACGCGCUUCAGCCCCACAACAGGUUUCCUUCUUUUUUUUUUUUUUAAUACUUGAUGCACAAAGAAAAAAAAAAAUAAAAAACUAAUUUUUUUUGUACACGAAGUAAAAGGCAAAAAAAAAAAGAAGAAAAACUAAUGUAAAAAAAACUUUUUGCAUGUCUCAUGAUCAAUUUAAAAGAAAACUAAAACUGAUUUAACUUUUCCUUUUUUUUAAAUCGAUUUUACUUAGAAAUCGAAUAAAAAAGUUUGCAGAAUCAAUCUACAUAAAAAUUUGAUCAACGAAGCAUGCGAUAAAAAACAAGCAUCACAGGCAUCAUUAUAAAGCGAAAACAAGCAAACGGCUAUAAUACCAAUUGUUGGAAUUGGAGGUUAGCGGAAAUUUACAAACUAGAUAGCCAACGUAUCCGGGCACUGAUAUCUCGCUUUCUCCCAAGCCUACGCCUUGCGUCACAGAUCAGAUGCAAGUCGAAUGCGACGGGUGCUAAUAAAAAAAGGCUACCAAAGCUCUCUUCCCUAGAGAAGAAGGGAGAAAAUUCUAUUUUCUAGUUCUGUCACGUACUCUCAAAUUCGAGAUAAAGGGAUCCUAUUUAUAGAUUAUCUGAAUCCUUUAAAAUUCUCAUAAAAAUUAGAAUAUCUUGGAUUAAAAUAUCUAUUAAGACAUAAUAGAUAUCCAUUAGCAGAUAUGUUUAUUAACUAAUAAGAAAUAUAUAUAAUUUAUUCUUAUCCUUAAGAUUUUAGGAUAAAUCUCAAUCCACAUCUUAUAUGGAUCGAGUUAAAAAUGAACGGACCAAUAUGGACAUACCACAUGGCAACAGUUGAAAAGAUGAAGCAACUAUGCUUUGAAUUUAGAGACCUCAAAUACCAAUUAUCAAACUCUUUGCCACUUGCACUAAGAACAAUUGAUGAAAAGAGACCGUUCUCUUUUUUUUUUUUUUUGAAAAAAGAUAGCAUGUUAUAUGCUUCAUUCAUAAGAGACCAUUCUAGAUCCUUGGAUUAAAAGAUAUAGAAUAUACAUUUUUUUUUGAGAUAUAUAGAUAGUAGGGCUCGUUGAAAUUUAACUCAAAAGAAAAAAAACAAAAAAGUUUUUUCAAGUACCAAGCACCAUUAUUGAAGAUUGCGAUGGUUCAUAAAAUUGCUAAGCUUGCAUGGCAAGUCUGGAGCUUGUCUUAUCUUGAGUACAAUUAUGAAGACCUUUUAUUGUUGGUUGGUUUUUUUCUUUUUUCUUUUUUUUAAUAUAAAUCUAUUUUUCCUCUAAGAUUUGGGGGACCAAGGGGUGACACGUGUCCCCUCAAACCCCCUUUACUCUCUCUCCCUAUAUAUAUAUAUAUAUAUAUAUAUAUAUAUAUAUAUUCUAAUAUAAAUUAUAUAUUAUUCUUGUGGCUAUGCAGAAAGUAGGCCUUUACGUAUCAUCAUGCGUCCCCUCCAACCCUUUACUCUCCUUCUCCCCUAUACUAUAUAAUAUAAUAUAAUAUCAUGUAGGCUCCUGUAUGCUAUUAGGAUUACGGAGGCUUUCGUACAUCUAAGCGUUUUCAUGAUCAGAGCUUCGAAUUGACGCAUCGGGACCGUUAGAACUUGGUCCUAACUAUUUGAACUAUCUAAAAAAUAUUUGUAAAUUUUUUUUUGUAUCAUUUCCUAGUAAUAGAAAGGUUCAAAAAUUUAAUAUUUUAAUGGUUAAUGUAUAACGUUGCAAGUUUAACGCUAUAGAUUAUUCAAAUCAGAUGAAAUCUUGAUAGAAAUUCUUUAUACUAUUUACAGUAAAACAAUAUUUUGAUCGAAAAUUUAAUGUAUAUCACCACUUUUUGUCAGAUUUUAUUUUCAUAGCCGUUGAUUUUGAACCCUUUUGAUCGCAGGUAAAUGAUAUCGAAAAAUCGCAAAAAUUUAUUUCCUAAUACUUCAAAUACGCUAGAUCAAGUCUACACGGAGCCCAUCGCGAUUCAAAGCUCAUCAUCGAAAACGGCUAGAAGCAUGAGACCUCCGCCUAAUAGCACAACAAAGCACUAACUAUAUAUAUAUAUAUAUAAUAUAUAUAUAUAUAUAUAUAUAUAUAUAUAAUAUAUAGAAAGUCCUUCACUAUAUCUCUAUGAGUACGAUCACCUUUGUACUCAUAAGUUAUUUUCGAUGAUAGAGCUUCCGAUUCGACGACCAUACUAUUAAAUAUUAUCUAGAGUAUUUAAAACUUCCUAAAAAUCAAAAAUUUUAUAAUUUUCGAUAUCAUUUACCUACAAUCAAAAGCUCACAAAAUGACAAUUUUUAACGGCCGGUAUGAGAUAUUUGCUAUUUUAACGGAGAAAGAAUCAGAAUUGUUGAAUUUUUGAUAAAAAUUCUUAUCACUACCUAAAUAAAAUCAAUAACUCCGAUCUUAAAUUGAAGGAUCCGAUCAUCCAUUUUUAGGAGUUUGUCUGAUUUUAACCGUUCAUUUUAUAACCCGCUUAUGACUUUAUAAUGAUUCGAAAAUUAUGAAAUUUAUUUUCUAGAAUUUAAAAUACUCUAAAUCAUGUUUAACGGUGGACGUCGAUUCGAAAACCCCAAUAUUGAAAACAACUUAUGAGUUACAAGGGCUCUAUACUCAUAAAGAAGUAUCCCUACCAAUAUAUAUAUAUAUAUAUAUAUAUAUAAGAGAGAGAGAGAAAGAGAGAGAGAGAAGAUAGAGAGAGAGGAGUCCGGCUGCUUCUGCAUCGAUAGCACCAAACACUUGGUCAUUAAGUUUUCUACCGUUAGAUUAAUCCCUUAAGGAAACAACCACUCACUCAACCCUAGGGGCUACAUCAUCCUAACCGCAUAUUUCUCAUUCAAGGCCUAAAAAUCAAUACAACCAAUAACUUGGUACUAUUGAUAGUAUUCCAGCCUAGUUAUAUAAUAUAUAUAUAUAUAUAAUAAAAUAUAUAUAUAUAUUAGUAUAAUAUGUAUAUAUAAUAAAUAGUUAUAUAAUAUAAAUAUAUAUUGUAUAAUAUAUAUAUAUAUAUGUAUAAUACAUGUAUAUGUAUAUAGUAAUAAUACAUGUAUAUGUAUAUAUAUAUGUAUAUAUACAUAUAUAUAUUACAUAUAUAUAUACAUAUCAUAUAAAUAUAUACAAUAUAUUUAUAUAUAUAUAUAAUUAUAUGUAUAUAUACAUAUAUAACAUAUGUAUAUGUAAUAUAUACAUAUAUAUAUACAUAUGUAUAUGUAUUAUAUACCAUAUAUAAUACAUAUAUGUAUAUAACAUAUAUAUAUAUAUAUGUGCGUCUGGUAUGCUGCUUCUGAAUCACGGAGCGUUCCGGCUUCCAAUUGUUUCGAUGUUCGGACUUUCAAAUCGACAUCGGCUCCGUAAGACUUGAUCUAGAGUAUUGAAGUACUCAGAAAUAAAUUUUGCGAUUUUUCGAUAUCAUUUGCUAGUGAUCGAAGUGGCUCAAAAUCAACGGCUGAAAUAAAAAUCUUAAAAAUAUGAUUAUAUGAACAUUAAAAUUUUAGACCAAAUUAUUGAUCUUGUUUUAUAAUGUAUAAAAAUUUUCAUAUCAAAUUUCAUAUAUUUGGAUAUUUCUAUAUCGUUAAACUGCACAACAGCUCACCAGGCCAUUAAAACUAUUGAUUUUGAGCCCCUUCGAUCACAGCAAAAUAAUCGAAAAUACAAAAAUUUAUUUCUGUACUUCAAAUACUUUAGAUCAAAUCGAACGGAGCCGAUCGUGAUAUCGAAAGACCCGAACAUAAAACAACGUAGAAGCAGGAGGGCUCACAUGCUUCCAAAAGCAUAACAGCCUAAUCUCUCUCUCUUCUCUCCCUUCUUACUCCUCUACUCUACUCAUACAUUUCUCUCUCUCUCUAUUUAUAUAUAAUAUAUAAAUAUAUAUAUAUAUAUACUAUAUAUAAUGUAUAUAUAUAUAUAUAUAUUAAUUAGAUCACCGCUACUAUACAUCUAUAGUACCGGGAGCUCCCUACAUAGUGUUGUUUUUCGAUCUUCGGCAUCUCAAACAAGAUCCACACGUUAAAACUGAUCUAGGGUAUUUAAGUUUUAGAAAUAAAAUUUAUAUUUUUUCCGACAUAGUUACUUUAUGAUCAAAAACAUUUCAAAAUUGUCAAAUUUCAAUGGCUAUUAUGACGAGUUUGGAUUAACGGUGUAGAAGAAUCUAAAUUUCUUCAAAUUUGAUAGAAAAUCUUAAACUAUAUAGAUUAGGUUAACAUUCUUGAUCUUGAUUUAAAAGUCCUAUGCUCAAUUUUAAAGAUAUUCAAUUCCCACCGUCCAUUUUGACAUAAUUUAUUUACUAAGUAAAUGAUAUCGAAAAGACUAAAAUUUUAUCCUAAGAAUUUCAUAUACCCUAGAUCAUAUUUAACGGUAUGGAUCGUUGAUUUGAAGCCGUAAGAUUGAAAACAACACUAUAGUUACGGGAGCUCCCGUACUAUAGAUAAUAUAGUAGCCUAAUUAUAUAUAUAUAAUAUAUAUAUAUAUAUAUAUAUAAUAUAAUAUAUAUAUAUAUAUAUAUAUAUAUAUAUAUAUUUUGAUAUCAAAAUUUAAAAUUUUGAUCCUUUCAACUUUUCAAAUUAUAAUUCAUUUUAUAUUUUAUAUUUUAAAAUUUAAAUUUAAUUUAUAAUAUUUAUUUUUAAAUUUUAAAUUUUAAAAUUUAAAAUUUAAAAUCUCUAAACUCUAUGAAAUUAAUUAAUUAAUUUUAUUAAUAAUUCAUAAUAUAUAAUAUAGUUAAUUAAUUUUAUUAAUAAAAUGCAUAAUAAACUGCGUAAUAAAAUCUAACAUAAUAGAUGCAAUUUAAAUCACAUAAAGUAUCGCUGUAUAAAAAAAAAUAGAGCAUUUAAAUUUUAGGACUAAAAUUUUAAAAAUAUAUUGUAUUUCUGUGUAUAUAUAAUUAAUGUUAUUAAAUAAUUUCUUUUACAAUUUUAUUUUUCUUCUAUUUAUUGAUUUUUUAAAAUUAUUUUGAUAGAUUUAUCUUAAAUUAUUUUUAUAUAAAUAUUUAUAAAAUAAAUUGUUGUAUAAAUUUAUUUUGCGCAUAUACCGAUUUUAAUGACUUUUAUUUAAAUAAAUUUAACGAUUAAAUUAUUUUUUUAUAACUUUAUUUAAUUAAUAAUUAGGCUUAUAAAACUAUAUAAACAUAUUAAAAAAAAUAAAAUUUAUUACAAAAAUAUUUAUAUAUCCGCAGCAUCGCGCGGGUAUUUCACUAGUUAAAUAUUAUAGUGUGGAUCUAGAUGAAAUAUAUAAUGUCCUCACCUCUAUAAAUCCAUCACAUUUGAUUGGUAAUUAAGAAAAAAAAUUAUUUCUCCUUCUUCAAGUUAAUUCUAACAAG